CCAAACAAUAGAGAAGCAGAAAUUAAGUUGGUCUCUUGUGUAUAUGGAGUUUCAAGGGAAGAAGCAAACCAUCCUUUGCCUGUCCUUUGUGACCUUGUUUAGCCUUGUAGGUCUCUUGUGUGCUGAAAUUGAUGGCAGUCCCAAUAUUGUUGUGGAAGAGGUUCAUGUUGGUGUGAUUCUUGAUAUGGGGUCAAGGGAAGGAAAGAUUAUUCUCAGCUGCAUUUCAACAGCCCUGUCUGAUUUCUACCAUCUGCAUAAUAACUACAGCACAAGAGUAAUUCUGCACACCAGAGAUUCCAAAGGAAAAGCUCUACAUGCUCUAUCAGCUGGUAAGCCACAUAUUAAUAUUUUAGUCUUUUAAUUUUCUUUCUAGACUUUGUUAUAAUGAUUAUAAUAAAAAAAAUUAUAACAAACUAUCAUUAUAUAAUUUUAUCUUAAACUCUAGUUGCGAUCUUCAACCAAAUGCAGCUCUAAAUCUUUUGGAUAAGAUCAAAGUGGAAGCAAUAAUUGGUGCACAAACAAGAAUGGAAGCAAACCUAUUGGCAGAGUUAGGAGAAGAAGCUAAAGUCCCUGUAUUGUCACUUUCUGGACUUCGUACUAGUCCUUUCGGUGCUCCUGGCGAAUAUCCCUUCUUUGUUGAGAUUACACAAGAUGAAACUUCUCAAGUUACGGCAAUCAAUGGCCUUCUUGAAAUGUUCAAAUGGAGGGAUGUCAUCCUUCUAUAUGAGAACACAGAUUAUGGGAGAGACAUCAUUCCAUUUUUUAUCAACUCCAUUGAAGAAGCAAAUGUGACUAUUGUAUAUAAAAGUUGCAUUGCUGCCUCCUCAGCAGAUGAACAGAUCAUUGAAGAGCUCCGCAACCUCACAAAGUUGAAGACGACGGUAUUUGUGGUGCAUGUAUCACAUUUUCUUGUUCCUCGCCUUUUCUUGAAUGCAAAAAAGUUAGGCCUACUGAGUGAAGGGUAUGCUUGGAUCAUGACAUCAACUAGCAUGAAUUUCUUGCAUUUUUCCAUGGACCCAUCUGUAAUUGAGUCAACGCAAGGAGUGCUCGGUUUGAAGUCUUAUACUCCAGCAUCAACCCGCCUCCACAAUCUUACUUCAAGAUUGAGGAGGAUAUUUUACAUGCAGGAUCCUAACAUAGAAGUAAGUGCGGUAACCCCAGAUGGAAUUUGGGCAUAUGAUGCAACUUGGGCUCUAGCUGAAGCAGUUGAGAGGACCUCGACUUCUACAGGAUUGAACCUAGUUAAUUUAAACAAUAUUACAUCCUCCAAACAUGGACUUCUGCUUCUUCAAGAGAUAUUGCAAACAAGGUUUAAGGGUUUAAGCGGUGAAGAAAUUCAAUAUGCAAAUGGGAAGCUAGUUUCAAGUGCAUUUGAGAUUGUGAAUGUCAUAGGAAAAGGGGACAGAAGGGUUGGAUUUUGGCCAUGUGAAGAAAAACACACAAGAGAUUCCUACCCACUUAAUAACAGAAGAAAUUUACUUUCCACCAACGAUCUCGAAACAAUCAUAUGGCCUGGAGGAUCAUCAACCAUCCCAAGAGGUUCAAAGAUGCAAGUGAGUACUAGUUCUGAAAUAAAACUAAGAGUUGGCGUUCCAGUGAAGAAAGGGUUCAACGAACUUGUGCAUAUGAACCAUGAUAUUCAAACCAAUCGAACAUAUUUCACAGGCUUCUGCAUAGACGUAUUCCAGGCUGCAAUUAGCAAAUUGCCCUAUAAAGUAAAUUAUGAGUUCGUUCCGUUUGAGGUUUCUAGUGUAACUUACAAUGAUCUUGUCUACCAAGUUUUUAACAAGGUAUGCUUAAUUUGAAAUUAAAAAUUUAUAUCAGGUGGAAUAUAAAUAUUGUCUUGGAUAAAUACAUCUGUGAUUGUAUGUAGUAAUGCAAAAAUAUAUUUGCAUCUCAUUAUAUUACAUUUUAAUGAUUUAACUAUCUAAUUUUUUAUUUUUCGUUUUCCUGCCACACACUUUGCAUAUUGGGGAAUGUAUAUUAACUAGACAUUCGAUGCUGUUGUUGGGGAUACCACGAUCACAUCGGUGAGAUCUCAGAAUGUUGGUUUCACAAUACCAUAUAGUGACUUAGGUGUGGGGAUGCUAGUAUCAAAUGAAAAUGAAGACAUGUGGAUUUUCUUGAAACCUCUUUCGACAGAUCUGUGGAUCACAAGUGCGGGUUUCUUUAUCUUAACCGGUUUCAUUGUGUGGGUAAUUGAGCGUCCUGUCAACCCAGAAUUCCAAGGCACACCUUCGCAGCAAAUCGGAACCAUAUUAUGGUUUGCCUUCUGAUAGGAUUUUUAGUACUUGUGCAAACAGUGUUAAAAAUCACAUAAAAUACUUGCAAGAAUACAAGGCUAUUGUAGUAUAGAUGCUCAUGCAAGGUCGUUUUCCUCAAGGACUAAUUAGCAAUUUAUGUAAAAAAAAAUUCCAAUUACUACUUAAAAUAAAAAGUCAAGAAAGAUGAUUAUAAAUUUGGUGGAUUCUAAAAAACAAAUAUUAAACAAAAACAAAUACGAUUGAGAGAAAGAGUUUUGAAUAUCAAUUUAUAAAAACACUAGGGUUUCACCAUCACCUAGCAAUCCUAUGAACUUUUACCAAUUACUUAUGAUUUGCACAUGCCACUUUGAAGGUUAGGUUUUCCUAAUGUAUAUUCUACUUGGAACCUCCAACACAGAACGUAUAUCCAACAUGCAACCCGUCCGGACGUUCGGAUCAAAUCUGAACAUGAAAGACUCAUUAAGUUUUGUGAAAACCCUUUGAAAAACCAUGCAACCCUUAAGACGUGGUGUUCAUCUUAAGUGAAAUUACAAUUAUUAAUCACAAGAAGCUAGCAUCAAUUUCAGGGAACCUUCCGACCAAAAUUGCAUCCAAUUACUUUUCUAAAGAUCCUAAUGGUGAUCAGGCAUUAAGACAAUUAGAUAGUUUAAAACAGUGAUUAACAAUUCAAAAUACGCAUGCACUCAUCAUAAGCAAUUAAAUAAAAAUCACAUAUUCAUGCUAAGGUUCAAGGCUUCACCCUAGCAAAAGAAAUUUAGUUACGCAUACUCAUAAUUGAAAUCCAAGAAAAUAUCAUUAAGAAGAAAAGAACGAAAACACCUGAAAGUUGUGAAAACCCAAAACCCUAGCAAUUGCUCUCCACAAUGCAAAGUUCAAAAGUGAAAGGGGCGUCCUUCAAUUCCUUGUGAGAAAGAGCUUAAAUACCCCUUAAAACCUAGCUGCCAAUGUACAGCUUUUCUAUCCCCACAAGGAAACUAAUUAAAGUAAAAUAAUACUAGGAAAUAAAGUCCAAAUUGGAAUAGGAGAAUUUGCCUAAAAUCUGCCCAGCCACGUUUUGGCCCCAAAUCUCCUCCAAAUCUGGCCCAAGAUAGCUUGUUUUAAAGAUAAAAAUGUUCUGAACACUUCUCUAGAAGGCCACGAACCCAUCCGAGGUCAUCUUGGGCUUCAAAAACGCAAUAAAAGCCCAACACGUCACUAUUCCAGCACCGCGCACUGCUCAUUUAUUUUAUUGCCAGAAAAUAACCGCUUGGAAGAAAGAUCUGAAAUUUUGAUACGAUCAAGCUAAGUGACUCAAGAACGUCCUCCAACUGGAAUUACUCCAAAAUUCCUCAAUUUGAUUAUGUUUUGCUCCAGAGAGAGUCGAAAGUCCUAUAUUGAAAAUAUAAUUCAAAGUAUCAAAAUUCUUCCAAAAUAUUAACCAAAAUAUACUAAGAAUGAGGUUAAAUAUAUAAUAUAAAAUAUGUCCAUCACCUUCUCAACCCUUGUGUUUGCUCAUAGUAAGUGCACGAUAUCUCACUACUUCUUUCAAUUAUUCAAGCUUACUGCUAAUUCGUCAUUGCACAUCUUAAUUAUAUCCCUUCUGUUUUCUGAUUAAUUAACACAGAUAUGAGAAAGAGUAGCAUUAUGAAUUAUAUCCUUUCAGAUGAAAGAACGAACUCAAAUUACGAAUAUAGAUGCUGUAGUUGACGAUCAGUCUUGAUUUAGUUUAGAGUUGAUUUGCUAAAAUCACCUGGAAAUGAAAUUUUGUCUUUGUGUUGCAGGGCAGAAGUUGUCAAACAAUUUAGCAAAGUUUGUAGUGAUCAUAUGGGUGUUUGCUGUGCUUAUAUUGACUUCCAGUUACACAGCAACUCUGACAUCAAUUAUGACAGUUAACCAAAUACGAUUAAACUCAAGAGGGGACUAUAUAGGUUACCAAUCAGGUUCAUUCACCCAGGGAGUGGUAAAGAACUUGAAUUUCAAAGGUCUUAAACCCUACAAUUCGGUUGAAGAAUAUGCUCUCGCUUUAUCAAGCGGAAGUAAGCAUGGUGGUGUCUCUGCUAUCGUUGACGAGGUUCCAUUCAUUAAGAUCUUCCUUGCACACUAUCCUACUGGCUACUCCAUGAUUAAACCCGAAUCUAGCACCAAUGGUUUUGGCUUUGUGAGUAACCUCCCUUAAAUUAAGUUAUGCAUUAAUAAUAAGUUGUAUUUCCUCUGAAACUAGCAAGAUUAACAUUUAUAGUUUCCGUAGUUUUUUAUGAUUUUCCAAUUUGAUCCUCGUAUUUCUGAUUCUGACAAUUAAGUGCAUGUACUUAAGCUUAAAUAAAAUCUAAUAUGUUAAAUGUGGCUAGAUGGAAAAUUGACGUGAAAAGAGCUUUAUGAUUAUGUCCAUCCAUUUAAUUACAAAUAUGCAUUGCAAAUAAAAACUAUAUGGAGAAAAGCAGAAAAUCAGGAAGUAGGCAUGCUGAUUACAUCGUUGUUCAUCUUUUUUUGUGUACGUAGGUUUUCCCUAAAGGUUCGAAAUUGGUCCAUGAUAUGUCAAUGCAAAUUGAACAAAUGAGAGAAAAGGGAAAGCUUAUGGAGAUGGAGAAGGUCUGGUUUGAUAAGAGAACAAUUCUCAUGUUUGACAACACAACGAGUGAUCCCAAUACUCUAAACUUCCAUACUUUUCGUGGUUUAUUUCUCAUUACUGGGGUAUCUUCAGCUUUUGCUAUUUUCAUAUUCAUAAUAUUCCCACUCAAAGAAAAAUGGUAUGCCGUGAAGAAAUUCAGAUUUAAAUAUCAGGUUCGAGAAAAGCUGCAGCGUGUAAGGAAAUUCUUCUCUCGCAAAGUUUCCAAUGAAACCGAAGAAAACCAGUAGACAGAUAGUGCAUGAAGCUAAGUAUUAUGGUAUGUAGAACUAGAUAUUGCUCCCCAUUGUAGUCGCUGAGGUUGUACGGGAGCUGUGUGGAAUCGUGAUUUUGCAAUGCUAAGGUUGUGUUUUAUUAGGUAUAUAUUGUACAAACAGAUAAAGUCACUUAUAAGCGACAUGCACUUUUUUCUUUAAUCUGUUGUUUUCUGAAAGCAAAACCCUAUAUUAUUGACAUAAUAAUCGAAAGCAAUAAGAGAAAGAUUUAUACAUAACCCAAUCAAGUACUAGGUCAUCUAUGAGAUUUCGGGAGACUGGUGAGAAAUUAAAAAGGGAAUCGUCUUUAAAUCCCAAACUUAUACUAGCGCUAAUGUAGAUUGGUGAAGAUCACCUAUGAUUAAAAGUUGGAGCACCCCCAUGCAUUAUUUGCUUAUUGUCUUCCCAAUAUGAAUAAUACCAGGAUCUGUCAUGCUUCUUGUAAAAGACAAGAAGAACAUCCUCUAUCUCCCUAUAAAGGGCACUAUAGUAAUUCCAAAGGUACAACUAUCCUAAUCAAUCAGGGGUGCAUCCACCAAAACAUGGUCUGUGCCCAUUAAAAUGCCAACCUAGUUUUAAACUAUUGAAAUUUUAGUACUUUCUUGAAACACCAUGAUCAAUGAUUUUGUGAGACAUAAUUGGAUGUCGAAACGGUUUCCGAUUUGUCUAAUUUCUUGAAGCAACGAUGAUCUAUGAAUAUAUACUUAAAAAAUUCCAAAUGUACAGCUAUCCACUACUACAUUUUACUAUUUGCGCGAUGACAUUUUGCACGACGAUAAUAAUUUCGUCGCACAAUAAAUACUUGCAUGACGAAACGAGUCAUUCGUAGCACAAAAUAUCACAGAUAAUAAUUUUAUAGUUCAAAACUUGCAUAAUGAAUGUUUUCGUCGAGCAAGAAGCCUUAGCAUGAUCUAACACUAAAUCAUCGCGCAAAGUUAGGAAGGAAAACGCGGGUUUAUUUUAUUUGGCCCCAAAAGCCUGUGCAACGACACGUGUUGUCGUGAAAGAACACCUAGCGCGACAGUAAAUGUUAUCACUGCGUAAAGUUACCUCGAAAAACGCUGGAUAUUUUAGUUGGCUCCAAAUACUUGCGUGACGACAAUUGUCGUCGCAAAAGAAUACUUAGCGCGACGACACAGGUUGUCGUCACGUAAGAAAACAUGGGAUUUUUUUAUUUGGUGCCAAUUUCUUGGGCAACGAAAAAUUAUGUCGUUGCGUAAAGUUUGAUGUCGGCACAACUAUGCGCGACGAGAUUGAUUAGUUGCGUGACGAAAUUUUGUGGGACGAAAACAUUGUUUCGUCGCACAAAAGUUAGGAAGAAAACACGUGCUUGCGCGACGAAAACGGUAUGUUGGGCGACGAAAUGGAACACUUGGGCGACCAAAUUGAGUUGUUGCGCGACGAAUUUUUUUUUGUGCAACAAUACUUUGCGCUACGAAAAUAACUUCGUCGCAUAAAAUCCUUCUCUAUAUAACCUGGAUUCUGCCAUUGCAGAGGCAGACUUCAAAAAAAAAGCUCUGCCUCUGCCUCUACUUCUGCUGAGAAUUCAGUACGUUCGUUGGGUAAGUAUUUUUUGUCGUUAGUUAAAAAGUAUUAAUGUAAAUUCGUAUUAACGCUAUUAAUUUCGUUCUCUUUAGGGAUAUUUGUAAUUAGCGAUUGGUGGAGAACAAUUGAGAAGAUAUUUUAUAUAUUUUAAAAAUAUAAAAUUAAUUACAUUAUGUUAAACUUAGUUUGUUAUGUUUAUAUAAUUUUUUUUAUGAAAUUAUAUUUAUAUUAUGCUGUUAAAUUGUGCAUGACGUAGCUCACUGUGUUGUGAUGUACGAAGUUAAUUGAAAUUAACUUCGUACUUUUUGUUUAUUUUUAGUAAAACUUAGUUUCCCGUUCGAGAUUAGUUGGAUUUCGUGCAUGGAUGCGUAAAGCAUGAUUACGGUCCAAUUAAUUCUUGAAUUUUUCCAUUAUUUAGACAGUUUGGGAAUGCGUAGUCAUGUCACGUAAUGUACGGCUACAUGAUUAGGUUUCGAUUAUGAAAAUUUUGGUGUCAUCUCUGUAUGUUCUUCGGGUGGUACAUAGGUAUUUUAUACCUAUGGUACACCUCAAGAAUUGUACCGAGAUGCUGUCAAAAUUCAUCCACAUCGAAAUCUAAUAUCAUGUAGCCGUAAAUUACGUGACAAGACUAUGCAUUCCCGAAUAAAGGAUUUUAUUGAGUUGUGUGAAGUUGUUGUGAUUGUGGUUCCAGGAAUUAUAAGCAUGAGGUGGAUACAGAACCUGAAGAGAUGUGCAGACGAAUACUUGGAUGGAAUCGAGGAUUUUAUUGAGUUUUCACGUAAACACAACCCGGGCGUAACUAGAAUCCAUUUUCCUUGUAGGAGGUGUAACAACACGUUGUGGGAGUCAGUUGAAAAUGUUGGAUUUCAUUUAGUAAGGGAUAGAAUGAUUGAGACAUAUAGCAUUUGGAACCUUCAUGAGGGACAAUUAGGCAAUGCUUCGUCUUCAAAUGCUACAAGAGUGGACAAUGUUGAACCUAUUGUGGAUCCUAAUGAACAAGUCAUAGAUAUUAUAAAUGAUGAUUUUCCAUUUGCAUCGACCAACAUCAAUUAGAAAAGGGAAGAUGACGUGCCUACCUCAAUGGAUAGUGCAUAGUUCGAACAAUAUGAACAACUAUUAAAAAAUGCCAACCAAGAGUUAUACCCAGCAUGCGAGAGGUUUUCCGUUCUCACGGCCAUUGUGGAGCUAAUGCACGGAAAAAUAAAGUAUCGUAUGUCAAACCUGUAUUUUGAUUACUUUUUGGGGUUUUUCAAAAGAAUACUUCCGACGGAAAAUUAUUUGCCGAAAGACCAUAGACAAGCGCAAAAGGUGUUAAAUGGUCUUGGAUUGGGUUAUGAAAAAAUUCACGCUUGCAAAAAUAAUUGCAUGUUAUUCUACAAAGAGUAUGAAACAUUGGAUACAUGCCCUAUAUGCAAUGAGUCGAGGUUCAAAACAUUUCAGAAUAGAAUGACUAAGAUCCCACAAAAAGUCAUGUGUUAUCUGCCCCUGAAACCUAGGCUGUAGCAAUUGAAUAUGUCGACGCAUACUGCCACAGACAUGAGAUGACAUAAGGAAAAAUGGGUAGACGACGAUGUGAUGCGGCAUCCUGUAGAUAGGGAGGCAUUGAAAGAAUUCGAUUGAACAUUCCCCAAGUUUGCUGCUGAACCUUGAAAUGUUAGAUUGAGACUUGCCACUGACGGAUUCAAUCCGUACGGGGUUUUAAACCAAUACCACAACACUUGGCCGAUUUUCGUAUUUUCAUAUAAUUUGCCGCCUUGAAAAUGCAUGAAAAAAAAAUACAUGAUGAUGACUAUUUUGAUAACUGCGGAUCCUGGCAGGCCAAUCAAUGUUUACCUAAGGCCGUUGGUUGAUGAGCUGAAGGAUUUAUAGACAAAUAGUGUCGCACGUACAAUAAAUCCACUGAGAAAAUGUUCACUUUGUGAGCAGCAGUUAUGUGGACUGUUAAUGAUUUUCCAGCAUAUGCAAUGGUUUCUAGGUGGAGCACAAAGGGUUAUAUGGCAUGCCCUGUAUGCAAGGAAGAUGCAACUUCUGGUUGGCACGCUGGAAAAUUUGUUACCUUGGUCAUCGGCAAUGGUUGCCAUGGGACCACAAGUAGCCGGAAAAGGAUAAAAAGUUCGACGGGAACACAGAGCAUCUCCUCAAACCUAGAGAAUGGUCCAGUGAUGAGAUCUUGGAACAGCUUAACUGUUUGGAUUUUGCUCCAUUUGGGAAAAUAAUUAGUCGGACCAGACCUUCUAUACAUUUGAACUGGAUGCACAAGCCUAUGUUUUUGAGCUCCCAUAUUGGUCGAAACUAAAAUUGAGGCACAAUAUCAACAUUAUGCAUGUUGAGAAAAAUGUCUUUGACACAUUGAUGGGCACGAUUCUAGAUAUCGAGGGCAAGACAAAGGACACGAUUAAAGCUCGUCUUGAUUUGGAAAGAAUGGGCAUACGAAUGGGUUUAUGGAUGAAUAGGGACAUUGAUAAAGCUAGAAGGGAUCUUGCAUUUUUUUCCAUGAAACUGAAUGACAAAAAAGAUUUUCUAAAGUUUGUAUCGUUUGUAAAGUUUUCCGAUGGGUAUGCUCUUAAUAUUGCACAUUGUGUAAAUGUUGACGGGGGUAAAUUUGCUUUACUAAAUAGCCAUAACUGCCAUGUGUUUAUGCAACGCCUACUUCUUGUGGGUAUUCGACACCUAUUGCCGGAAGAUGUAGUGAAACCAAUCAUGUUGUUGUCCAGAUUGUUUUUCCUAACUGAUGGCAAAAACGUUGUGAAAGACAGACAUAAUCAGUUGCGCCAUGACAUUGUUCAAGUCCUAUGCAAGUUUGAGAUGAUAUUCCCUCCAGCUUUCUUCACAAGUAUGAUCUACGUGAUGGUUCACUUGCCAGAAGAAGCAUUGCUUGCUGGGUCUGUCAACUAUCGCUAGAUGUAUCCAAUCGAAAGGUAUAUAAUCCUCAUCAUUUGUUUAUGCAUCAUUAUCCCACACUUGCUAAUUUGUAGCGUAGUGUUUUCUUUUGGCAGGCUUCUCGGAGAGCUGAAAAAAACUGUACGCAACAGGGUGAAGCCUAAAAGAUCAAUUAUAGAGGCUUGGGUUCAAUAUGAGUUGCUUACUUUCUGUGGAAUGUAUUUAAAAGAUGUGGAGAUGGCUUUCAAUCGUCCUCAACGCAAUAAUGAUGGAGGUGUGAGAAUUGAGAAACUUUAUGUUUUUGCCCAAAGCGCACGACCCUUUGGAGAUCCUGCACGAGGAGAGUUGUUUUCCAUGAAUGACAUGGAGGUAGGGCAUUGGUUCGUACUGAAUAAUUGUGAUGAGAUAAUGGCAUACUUAGAUGAGCAUGAAGAGAUGAUGAAGCGAGAACAUGCAUCACAUUUGGUUGCUAAGAAACACCGUGAAUUGUUUCCACAAUGGUUUUUGGAAUAUGUAAGUUAUAAAUGCUUUGUAUUUGACAUAAUAUUGUAGUAUUUAAUUUUCUCAAACUAACAUGUGAAUAUGUUUGUAUAAUAUUAGGUGAAUAAGUUGAAAUCAUCGAAUUCCCCCACUUACAGUGAAGAAUUAUAUAAUUUGGCAUUCGGCCUGAUUCGCGUUGAAUUGUUCACGGGUUGCCAUGUUAACGGCGUUAAGUUUUUGGGAACUGCACGAGAUGACAAGUUGUGUAUGGACAUUGAUUUCUAUGGAGAAACUACGGACAUUGAUUUCUAUGGAAAACUCACAACUGUCGUGCAAUUGAUUUACAAAGACCGAUACCAAGUGAUCAUGUUUAAGUGUCGAUAAUUUGAUACAAACCCAAAUAGCUAGGGAAGUAUUAAAAUCAACCAUGGCUUACUAUCUGUAAACAUUAACAGAACUUGGUCUGAGAACGACCCUUACAUUUUGGCAAACAUGGCAACACAAAUUGUGUAUCUAGAUGACCCUAAAGGCGGGAGCGGUUGGAAAGUUGUUCAGAAGAUGGAUCAGAGGAACAUGUAUGCCAUACCAGAACUAGACCCAACUGACAACGACGUCGACAACGUUGCUGACCAACGUUUAGAAUAUUCGAUGAAAAAUGAUGCGGAAACACUUCAAGAUACAAAUGUUAUACAAGAACUGUUUCAGAUACAAGGAGUGUCUUCAAUCGAAAUACCGAUUCAGUCAAUUACAAUUGACCUCGGUGAUCUUUCACGAUAUGGGAGACCGAAAGUGACGAUAGUGAAGAUAACGAAAGUUAUUAUAGUUCAGAUGAUGAAUAAUGCAAUUUCUUUUGACUCGCUAUGUAAAACAUAGUAAAUGAAAUUUUUUGUAAUUUACUUAUGUUAGUGUAAAGAUUUUGGCAACUAUGCUUGUUUGAAUAUAUGUACUUGUUAUAUCCUAACCUUAUGGACUAAAGAGAAAUGAAACUUUGUUAAAUAAAUUGUUAUAUCCAAACCCUUUUGGUAAUAUUUUUGAAAACUGUUUUUAGUGAAAAAUUUUUAAAAAGGAAAAUGAGAAACAAACCCUAACAUUCCCUUAUCAAAAUAAAAGGAAAAAAAAUGAAAAUGAGAAAUAAACCUUAAUAUUUAUUUGGAGAAAUGAAACAUUAUUACACAUAUAUUAUAAUAUUAGUCCCGAUCUCUUGGACCACAGGAUUCUAAGAGAUUGUGGUUACCCGCCGUUGGAUAUUAAUGGUUGAAAUUUUUUUUUAUUUUUAAAGGAGUGCAAAAGUGAGUGAACCGUUGAAUUUACAUCCAACGGCAAGUGACCACAAAUCUCUUGGACCCCUGUAGUCCAAGAGAUCAGGACUGAUUAUAAUAUAUAGUAUACAUAUAUACGUAUAUAUAUGUAUAUAUAUAUACAUAUAUAUAUACGUAUAUACAUGUAUAUAAUAUAUGUGUACAUAGGUGUAUCUAUAUAUUAUAAUAUAUACAUGGGUAUAAUACAUGUAUAUAUAUAGAUAAUAUAUAUCGCUAUAUUAUAAUAAUAAUAAUAUACGUGUAUAUAUUUAUAUUAUAAUAUAUACAUAUAGUAUAAAUAUAUAAUGUAUAUGUAUAUUAUAACACAUAAAUGGGUAUAAUAUAUAUACACAUAUGUAUAAAAGUUGUAACACCCCGACUCCAAAUUAAACCCUUUAUUUAAGUUAUUUAAAUUAUUUAAGGGAAAUUACAAAUUUACCCUUGAAAUAAGGGCAUUUUGGUCAUAUUCUUAACCGGAGAGAGUUUGGGGUAGUGACUAGUAUUUUUGGAUAGGUCGUACUGAGACGAGUUCAUAGACACGUAGUGGACUCGAAUCGGAAUUCUAACGAGAGAGAUAUGGUCAAAAGAAACUCAGUGGCAUAAUCGUAAUUAUUUUGAAAUGAGAUUUUUAUAAAAAUCAGAUUUCUCUCUCUCUCUCUCUCCCUCCCUCCCUCCCUCCCGCGAGCUCUCUCUCUCUCUCUCUCUCUCUCUCUCUCUCUCUCUCUCUCUCUCUCUCUCUCUCUCCCCGUUGGUCUUUCUCUCUCUCUCUCUCUCCUCGAAACUCCGGCCACCGGCCACGACUGUGGACGGGGCCGGUACCAAAAUGACUGGGGCGUCGUCCUCUUCUAGCCCCAGCCGGCUCCUGCCUCCAGCCGCCGUGCUUUCGCCGUCGAUCUCCCUCCUCCGGCCACCAAUUCCGACGAGCGAGGUAUGGUUUCUCACCUACUUUUCAUGCUCUAGCUGCCUGUUGGGGAGGAUUGGAUCGAUUCUUAGCGUAGCCAAUUCGAUUCUCGAAUUGAAAUUCGGCCAGUUUUGGGAUCGCGAUUCCGGCCAUUUUCGGUCAGUUUUUGGUGUAGGUCUAAGAACAAAAGUGGCUCCAAAUAGGGUUUUAUACCUAGGGUAGGAGUUUGGAGCCGUGGUUUUGAGAUUUUCCGACGAUGCAUAAUUGUUUUGGACACCCAACGCUGCCGGCGCGUGUGGCGGCGCGUGAGCGAGGGUAGUGGAGUUGCACUGUGUCUCGAUGAGAUCCUUAAGUUGUCACGAGUGCGUAGGAUUUCGCAGAUCUCAAUUCGAACAUCGUUUGACUAUCGAACGGACGAUCGCAUAUUGCCCGUUGGGAUCUUUGGAUGGUCUCGAAUAUAAUAUAUGUUAAUCUAGGUAUUUCUAGGACCAUGUAGGAAUUCACGGGUUGUGAAUCGGAGCCCCGGAUAUACAGUUUAUGUUUUAUAAUAACCGUCAGAUCGUGCGAUCGUGAGCCAAACUUGCAGGACGAGUGUCCUAUACCUUGUAGAACUCAUAGGAACUUACGGAUCGGAAUUUGGAGGUCGUGGUCCCCGUGGGCCCGUUUGACUAGGGUUAGGGUAGUUUGACCAUUGGUUGAUCGUGAGUCUCCCGGAGUAAUCUCACCUUCCCAGGGGGGUUAUCAGGUGCUAGACUAUUGUUGAGGUCUACACAAUAUUAGAUUAUAUAUAUGUUUGUAUAAGGGUACAAAAGAGUCUAGAAUGUCAGUUUGAAGUGCUAUACGCACUACCUUAGGUACCUCUCCGGAUUUUGGUUACACUACAAGUACCACCAUGUGAAAGUUAGGUCCCACUGGCUUAGGUUAUCCGGCGUGCGGAUAGUCCCCAUAAAUGGUAUUGGUAGUAUCAGCGUAUGGGGAGAUUACGUGAUAAUAUGUUGAGGUCGCACGUGGCGUAGGUCAUUCGGCAUGUCGACAGACCCCAUACGUGGCAUUAAUACCGGUGUAUGGGGAGAUAUUGUGAUGUGAUGUUCAGGUCUCGCGUGGCGUAGGUUAUCUGGCAUUGAGACAGACCCCAUACGUGGCGUUGGUUGUACCGGCGUAUGGGGAGAUUAUGUGAUAUUAUGUUGAGGUCGCGCGUGGCGUAGGUUAUCCGGCGUGUCGACAGACCCCAUACGUGGCGUUGGUUGUACCGGCGUAUGGGAAGAUAUGUGAUAUGAUGUGCAGGCCUCGCGUGGCGUAGGUUAUCCGGCGUUGAGACAGACGCCAUAGGUGGCGUUGGUUGUACCGGCAUAUGGAGAGAUAUUGUGAUUGUAUGAUAUGGUCGUACGUGGCGUAGGUUAUCCGGCGUGUUGACAGGCCCCAUACGUGGCGUUGGUUAUACCGGCGUAUGGGGAGAUAAUGUGAAAUACAGAGAAAUGAAAUACAGUAUGGCCUAUAUGUGGAAUUAGGUUUCAUGGAAGAACUACGUGUGGCUUGAUCCCUCAGUGAGGGUACGUAGGCAGCCUAAGGUUAUUAGGUGCAGCUGCAGACUAAAUGUUAGUCAUAUCAUUAUAUGGAGAUUGAUUCAGACCUUGUUGUUGAUCCUGAAAUUGAGGUGAAAAUGUGAUUGUGUUAGGAGGCUAAAACCUCGUAUGUUGAAAUUUAAUAGUCAUAAUUUAUAUUUUGAAUUUAUCGUUUCCCUUGCUUAAGGCAUGAAUUAAUUUGUUAGCAUGCUUGGUAGUUGAGAAUUAUUGGAAGGCCGAAGGCCAUUUAUGUGAAUUGCAUAAAAUUAUAUUGUGCAUGCUGCCAGUUGUGGAUAUUAAAUGCGUUUUUAUGCAGGUUGAAAUUUUGGAAAAUGUCCAAUUUAUAGGGGAGACUCUGCCGAAAUUUCAGCAGAAAGUCUCGGUCUUUAGUAAGUGGGCCCGACAUCAGGGUGAUGUCGGGAAUUCCACAGGAUUCGCCUCGGGUUUUGGGAAAUUCAGGGCGGGUCCUUCAUAAGUAGAAAUAUAUGUUUUAGUAAAACUGAUACUUUCUAUUCAUCUCCAUAAUGAGCUAUUUAUAUGUUUACAUAGGGUUUUACAGGUUUAACAAGGAAAUAAAAUAAACUAGGAAACAAAGUCCUAAUUAGGAAAUCACUUUCCUGAACUCACGCACACGCCAACACUCCCCCUCAAUUUGGAGUAUAAAUGUCACCAAGGUCCAACUAGCUCAGCGUGUCCUAAAAUACUCGGCUUGAAGCUGCUUUCGUCAAGAUAUCUGCCAACUGAUCUUCUGACUCUGCAAACGGGAACUGAAGCGUCUUGUCUUCUAAUCUUUCUUUGAUGAAAUGCCUAUCCACUUCAACAUGUUUAGUUCGAUCAUGUUGAACUGGAUUAUGAGCAAUAUUAAUGGCUGCAAUAUUAUCGCAAUAUAAUUUCAUGGGUUUUUUAGGCUUUAAACCUAACUCCGUUAGAACAUGCUUAAUCCAUAACAACUCACAAACACCAUGUGUCAUACCUCUAUAUUCUGCCUCCGCACUUGAUCUUGCAACAACAUUUUGUUUCUUACUACGCCAAGUAACAAGGUUACCUCCUACAAAAGUAAAGUAACCUGAGUGGAUCGUCUGUCUGUUUGGGACCCAACCCAAUCUGCAUCUGUAUACCAAAUUACAUCCAGAUGUCCUUGCUUUGAAUACAUUAACCUUUUACCAGGAGUUGAUUUCAAAUAUCUCAAGAUGCGAUUCACUGCAUCUCUAUGAACUUCACUUGGAGAGUGCAUAAACUGGCUUACAACACUCACAGCAUAUGCAAUGUCCGGUCUCGUAUGUGACAAAUAAAUUAACCUCCCAACUAGGCGCUGGUAUUGCUCCUUGUUAGUUGGUUUAUGAUCAGUACACUCACUAAGCUUGUGAUUUUCCUCCAUAGGCGUAUUAACUGGUUUACACCCCAACAUCCCUGUUUCAGUUAAUAAAUCCAUAACAUAUUUUCGUUGAGACAAGAAGAUACCUUGCUGUGAUCUAGAUACUUCUAUCCCAAGAAAAUACUUGUGUACCAAGAUCUUUCAUGUCAAACUCCUUAGAUAAGUGCUCUUGCAAUGCUUUUCUUUCAUCAGGAUUAUCACCUGUUGCGAUCAUAUCAUCAACAUUUACUAUCAAAGCUUUAAUUUUAUUUUCCUUAUGCUUCAAGAACAAAGUAUGAUCAAAAUUACUUUGUUUAUAUCCAAAUGCCCUCAUAGACUUUGUCAACCGCCCAAACCAUGCUCGAGGUGACUGUUUCAAACCAUACAAAGACUUCUUUAAUUUGCACACAUAGUGUUUCGAUUUGGAACUCAAGUUACAUCCAGGCGGAGGAUCUAUAUAAACUUCUUCUUCUAAAUCACCAUGUAAAAAAGCAUUUUUGACAUCGAAUUGGUGUAAUGGCCAAUCCAAGUUUGCAGCAAGUGAUAUCAGGAUUUGUACAGUAUUGAUUUUUGCUACUGGAGCAAACGUCUCCUGAUAAUCCACUCCAUAUCUCUAAGUAUACCCUUUUGCCACUAAUCGAGCUUUGUACCGUUCGAUCGAUCCAUCUGCCUUCAACUUAAUGGUAUAAAUCCAUCUACAACCCACAGUUCGUUUGCCACUUGGGAGAGGAACAAGUUUCCAUGUGGAAUUCUUUUGAAGAGCUUGCAUCUCAUCAUUCAUUGCUUGUUUCCAGUUUGGAUCCAUCAAAGCCUCUUCUACACUGCUUGGUGCAGACAAAGAAUUUAGUUGUUUGAUCAACAUGGCAUGUGGUGCGGACAAUUUAUGAGUGGAAACAUGGUUGCUAAUCGGGUACUUCACUUUAGCUUUGGGAUCCGCUUCAUUUGAAUCUUUGGGAUACCACGAUUCUUACGAACAGGUAAUUGGUAUGGUUGUAGAUAUAUCUCAUUAGAUGGAUCAUCUGAAAACAAAUCAGUUAAAUAUAAAUCUUCAACAUCAAUGUUCUGGGAUAUUACCUGGGUUGUAGGUUCAGAAGACACCUCAAAAGAUAAUUGGUUAAAUGGUACAGAAACUUCAGAAACGGGCAUCAAUACAUCAUUCUUCUCCCCCUGACCGGGUGACUGAGUUGUCGGUGAGGAGACCAACCGUGACCAGUCAUCAAGACUGUGGUGCGUAGUUUCUGGAGUGGUAUCUGACGAGUUGGUUAGUGCAUCCUGAACUGUCGGCUUACAUAACGACUCCAAAGUAACGAAUCUUUCCAGGUCGAACUGAUUAUCAACAGUAUCUGGACUCGCCUGUGCCUGAACUCCCUUAGAAAAAUACAUUUCUUCUUCUCGAAAAACCACAUCCAUAGUGAUGUAGAGCUUCUGAGUAGGGGGAUGAUAGCAGCGAUACCCUUUUUGAUGUUGGGCAUAGCCAAUAAACACGCACUUGAGUGCUCGAGGCUCCAACUUGUUGCGCUGAUGUGUAUAAAGAUGAACGAAAGUUACACAUCCAAAAACUCGUGGCUCCAAAUUGGGAGUGGAAUGAAGGGCACAAAACUGACGAAGGGCUUGUAAUGGUGUUUGGAAGUUCAAGACACUAGAGGGAACCCGAUUAAUAAGAUACGCAGUAGAACACACUGCUUCUCCCUAAAAAGAACGAGGCAUUUGAGCAUCAAACAAUGAAGCUCGAACCACUUCUAACAAAUGACGAUUUUUGCGCUCUGCUACCCCAUUUUGUUGAGGAGUAUAUGGACAUGUUCGUUGAUGUUCAAUUCCAUGAGCUUCUAAAAACUGACAAAGAUCAUAAUUCACAAAUUCACCCCCAUUAUCAGAACGAAGGAUCUUAAUUUUUGCAUGAAACUGAGUGUCUACCAUCUUAUAAAACUGUUGAAAUGUGGUACACACCUCCCCCUUGGUUUGUAAGAGAGAAAUCCAAGUCAUACGUGUGCAAUCAUCAAUAAAGGUAACAAACCAACGAGCACCAGAAGAAGUAGAAAUUGGAGCAGGACCCCAAACAUCAGAAUGAACAAUUGUAAAAGGCACCGUACUUUUAUUCAUACUCAAAAGGAAGGAAACUCGAUGGCUUUUUGCUAGUUCACAAACAUCACACUUAAAAUUAAAAUCUGAAAGUUCACUAAACCAUGAAGGAAACAACUUUUUAAGAUAUCCAAAGGAGGCAUGACCUAACUGUUUAUGCCACAACCAAAUAAAAUUCUGAUUUUUCUCAGUUGAAUCUCCACUAGUCUUGAAGGCUUGAGAAAUCCGAGUCUCACCACUUGAUGCCAAAUCCAGAAAAUACAGCUUGCCCUUUCUAGUACCAUAAACAAUUAUCUUCCUUGUGAGGAUGUCCUGAAAAAUACAACAAUUUGGCCAAAACGUUACAGUACAAAAAAGAGCAUGAGUAAUUUGCGCAACAGAUAGCAAAUUAAAAUCCAAUGACGGCACAACAAGUACUAAAUCUAGGUGUAACGAAUCUGUAAGGGAUAAAGAACCCUCCCCGACAACAGUAGAGGAACUACCAUCUGCAUUGGAUAAUACCGACUAUGAAGAUGGAGACAAAGAUGUGAUUUUAUUCGAAUCACAUGUCAUAUGAUCAGAGGCGCCUGAAUCAAUAAUCCGGACAUUACUGGUGGGUGAGGUGGAAGAAACAUUCAAUGCAUAACCAGUUGUACCUGAUGUAGCCAUGGACUCAAAUGCAAAAGUAUGUUCAUUUGAUUUGUUGCCACUUACAAGGGGGUCUCUGGAGUAGCAGAGGCUUGGAGUGCACUACUACAAAAAAGCAAAAAGACGACGGUAAAUCACCGUCGUGUAUUUGGUUUUUCAAUGGUCGUGGAAUCCACCGUCAUCUUUUCCCUCAUAAACCACGACGCUAAAUAACCGUCGUUGUUAAACAAUACAACGUCAUCAAAAAAUACAAAACGACGUCUUUGUACUGCAAAAAGAUCUAAAAAAAGCAAUCGAGGAUGAUAAUAGACGACCAAUUCUCUAAAAAGACCGUCGUUAAAAAGGGAAAAUAUGACACAUAUUAAGAGAACAAGGCCGCAAGAUAGACAUACAACGACGACAAUAAAAAUACGCCGACGUUAAAUAUAAUUUUCACGACAAUAAAAAAUAUGACGUCUUUAAAUACAUUAGAAGACGACGUUAUUGAUACCUACUACGUCGCACAUAUAAACACAACCGUCGUACAAUUAAUUUUCCACUUCGAUUUUUCGAUAAAAGAUGACGUGGAAAUAGUUGUCAGUGUCAUUAUUUACGACGUAUGUGUUUCUAUAGUAGACGUUGAAAAACUAAACAACGUCAGUUACAAAUAUAUGAGAGUCGUAUUAAAAAAUUUAUACGUCCUAUUUUCAGAAACAAACAACGACCAUAAAUAUUAGACGUUGUUAAAUACAACAACGUCGGAAAACAAUAAAAACAGACGUGUUUAGUCUGCUAAAGUUCUACAACGUCUCUUAUUUACAAAAAACCGUCGUGAAAUAAAUUUUCCACUUCGAUUUUAUCUAAAAAAGAUGACGUGGAAAUAGUUGUCAGUGUCAUUAUUUACGACGUAUACAUUUAUAUAGUCGACGUUGUAUUUAUAUGUAUUCAUUACUCACGACGCACUUAAUAAUAUAGACGACGUUGAACGUCUAAACAACGUCGGUUCCAAAUAAAUGAGAGCCGUAUUACAGAACAUAUAGACGGCGUAGAUUAUGAUGGGAGCCGUAUUACAAAUAACGUCGUUUAAUUGUUAUUAGACGGCGGUUAUAAUGAAUUUCCGUCGGAAUUAAUUUCGUUCCUCUUCGUUUAUAAAAGAACUUGCGACGUGGAAAAUGUAUGAUGACGUCGUAUUUUUUAACGUUCAGAUUACAUAUCUCGUUUUUUAGACGUCGGUAUUAUGGGAUUGGAGUCGUGUUAUUUUGAAUUACAUGGCGGUUCUUUAUCCUUCACCGACGUGAUAUCCUGAAUAAUUGCUUCACAAUAGCGUCGUGGUUCUUCAUUGUUACGUUGCUUUAAGACGUCGGUAAAUAUGCUGAAUAACUGAUUCACAAUAACGUCGUGUUUUAUUUGAACGUAGAAAGUGAAGAAAUCAUAUUACAAUAUAUUACAAAAUUAAUGUCAUACACUGCCAAUUACAUAAGCAUCAUUCAAUCCAUAUAUCUUCACACCCAUCUCGAAUAUUUUGACCGCCUAACUCACCUACCAGUUCAUCAAAUGUGUCAACAUUUGGCAUCCCUCUAGUAAAUGGCUCACACUCAAUUAUCACAUCACCUAAUACUUCAUCACCAAUAACAUCAUUAUAUUCUCUACUAGGCAUUGAUAACACUACCGACCAACCACGAUGCAUCGGGUCGUCAACAAAAAAUAUUUGUUUGACUUGAGAAGCCAAAACAAAUUGGUCAUUCCUAUGUCCAAUUUUACUCAAAUCUACAAGGGUAAAUCCAAGUUCGUCGACUACAAGACCAGAACUAUCUAUCCAAUCACACCUAAAGACUGGGAUUGUAAACUUUUGGUAGUCAAGGUCCCAAAUUUCUUGAAUGACACCAUAGAAACCCAUAUUUGAGAGAAUUGGGUUUUUAUCCUUGGCACUAGCAACUUGCAUGGUAUGUGCAAGUAAAUAAACUCCACUAUUUUGAGUUGUCCGCACAUCAUCUUGUGCCUUGAUAUUGAAUUUAAUACCUUUAAUAAGAUAGCUCCUAUAUAAUGGCACUGACAUGUUUGGACCAGCUGCUAGCCACCUUAAAUUUUCUGAUACGCCAUGAUUGUCUUCCUCAACUUCACUUUGAACCUGCAAAUUAAUCAUAUCUUAAUUCAUCCUAACAUAUAAAUAAGAAGAAAAUUAAAAGAGAAAUACGUUAUUCAACAACAUAUACCUUGAAGCGUAGCCAUUGAAUGAAAGUGCUAUUGUGCUUAUCCUGCAGCCACUUUGUUCUCUUUCUAAAUUUUGGAUAAGCAGUCUUGAUGUGGAUCAUAUGUUGCCUACAUGACACGAAAAAUUCAAGCAUUACGGUCCCAAAUAUAUAAGAUAAACAUAAGAAAUAAUUUUAAAUGGAAACUUAAAGAAUAAAACUCAUACGUACUCGAUAUAAGGUAGGACUUCCUCCGUAUUCUCCAAGACAUAUAGAUGUGCUUGAUUCAACAGGUCCUGAUCAACUACGCUCACUGUGCAACCUGAUAAUGGCUUUGAAACUCCCAUCUUUUGGCUUGAAGGCACUCCAACUGUACUAACAUCAGAUAAAUGCUGAGUACAAAACUCUACCGCUUCUUCAGCUAUAUACCGCUCAGCAAUGCAACCUUCGGGACGAGUACGAUUCUGAACAUACCCCUUCAGCACUUUCAUAUAUCUUUCAAACGGAUACAUCCACCUAAAAUAUACUGGCCCACAUAGACGAACUUCUCUGANNNNNNNNNNNNNNNNNNNNNNNNNNNNNNNNNNNNNNNNNNNNNNNNNNNNNNNNNNNNNNNNNNNNNNNNNNNNNNNNNNNNNNNNNNNNNNNNNNNNNNNNNNGGAAACAUCAACAGUCUUUGCCACAUAUAGCAUUGAAGAGGAAGCCACAAACGAGUUAUUGCAUACCUUGCAGGCUUCUCCAAAACAGAACGAAUUGCCACAGGGAGCAAUUGUUGCAUUAAGGUAUGACAAUCAUGUGAUUUAAGGCCAAGAAGUCUUGAAUCUUGUACAGAUACAAGAUUUUUAAUAUUUGAAGAAUAACCUUCAGGGACCUUCAUACCAUAGAAAGAAUUGCAAACCUCUCUCUUCUCUGCUCUUGACAAAUUCCAAGGCCCAGGAGGCAAACGAGUACGUCUUUCUCCAUACUCGGGUUGCAAAUCAGUUUUGACCCCCAUGUUCAAUAAAUCUAAUCGAGCAGCAAUCCCAUCUUUAUUUUUUCCAGGGAUCUCCAGCAAUGUACCAAUGAUACUAUCGCAAACAUUCUUCUCAAUGUGCAUAACAUCUAGGGCAUGCCUCACAGGAAGGUAUUUCCAAUACUCGAGAUCAAAGAAUAUUGAUUUCUUCUUCCAACAAACUCUGUCACCAUUUUCAACCAUAUGCAGCACUUCUUCUCCGGUUAAUGGCUCUGGAGGUAUGCCAUAUUCAGGUUUCCCAUUAAAAGCUGCACGUUGCCUCCUAUAUGGAUGAUUGAUUGGUAACCAUUUUCUAUGCCCAAUGUAACAAAUUUUGUGGCCAUUUUUCAACCUGUGACUAGGUGUAUCAUCGCCGCAUAUUGGACAAGCUUUAUAUCCUUUAACAACACAACCAGAUAAGUUUCCAUAGGCGGGGAAAUCAUUAAUUGUCCACAUUAAUGCAGCUCUGAGUGUAAAGUAUUCUCCAUUAUGUGCAUCAUACACUCCUCUAAUCCCAACCCACAAGGAUUUUAAAUCAUCAAUCAAAGGCUCCAAGUAGACGUCUAUAUCAUUUCCGGGUUGUUUAGGACCGGAAAUCAAUAAGGUUAACAUCAUGAACUUUCGUUUCAUGCACAGCCAUGGAGGGAGAUUAUAUGUAACUAAGAUAACCGGCCAACAACUAUAUCUGCUACUUAGAGAACUGUGGGGAUUGAAUCCAUCAGAUGAAAGAGCCAAUCUCAAGUUUCUCGGCUCAUUACCAAACUCAGGCCAUUUAUCAUCAAGAAGUUUCCAAGACGGGGAAUCCGCCGGAUGAGACAUCUGACCGUCAAUUGAUUUUCUAGCAACAUGCCACCAAGUCAAACUCUUAGCUGUCUCAUGUGAUUGAAACAUCCUUUUAAACCUUGGAAUUGGGGGAAAAUACCACACCACCUUCGCUGGCACACCCUCUUUCAAGAUUGCAUCUUUGCCUUCCUUCCACCUUGAGAUACCACAAGUAGGACAAUUAGUUGAAUCCUCAUACUCCUUCCUAUACAAGAUGCAAUCAUUGGGGCAUGCGUGCAUUUUCUCAUAACUCAGCCCCAAUGCACACAAAGUCUUUUUAGCCUCAUACAUGGAGGUUGGUAUUGUAUUUCCUUCUGGAAGCAAAUCGCCUUGAAGUAUCAAUAAUUCUGUAAAACAGACAUCACUCAUCCCAUGUUUUGCCUUCAAAUUAUACAACUUCACUAAUGCCGAUAACUUCGUGUACUUUCUACAACCAGGGUACACUGGUUGAUCUCCAUCCCCAAUCACAUUGGCAAACUCAUACGGAUCCGAACCAAAAUCACCAAAAUCAUUAUCAUCCAUAUCAAUUUCUUCAGACACAAAACUGUACCUACUAUGGCCAUCAUCUUCUUCAACAUUUCUGCUAGCAUUAGUAGUUGCUUCCCAAGGUUCUCCGUGAAAUGUCCAAUUCUUAUAGCUUUGGUCAAUUCCAUUAAAGUAUAAGUGAUCCCUUAUAAUUCCAACCCCAAACAACUUCAAAUUAACACAUUUAACACAUGGACAACGGAUAUGUGUUGUAGUUAGAAGAUUUUCUACAGCAAAGUUCAAAAAUGCUUCCACCCCAAACUCAUAUGCCUUCGAUCUUCUAUCCGAGUGCAUCCAUGACUUAUCCAUCUCCGACACUAUAACCUAUUAUCUAUAAUAAAGUGAAAAUACAGGCAAUGACCAUCACUAUAGCAGAUUAUACAAUGAUCUAAUCGCAAGUAAUAAACAACAGAGACGACGGGUUUUAAUCAAAAACAGACGUAUUUGGCAUAUAUAGACGACGGAUUUUCAACAGACGUCGUCUAUUAUACGUAAUACAAACGACGGUUUAUGAAAAAACUGUCGUGUAUAAGUAAUACAACGACGGUAGUUUAAAAACACCGUCGUGUAAUCGUCGUCGUACGCCUUAAAAUUCGUCGUGUCUCAGUUUAUUUUCAAGAACACAAAACCCAUUAAGAACACAACAUAUAUAUGAAACCAAGCAAGAAACCAACAUAUACAUGAAACCAAGCAUGAAAACAAUAAAUCCAUUCCCAAUUCAACAUAACAUAGGGUGAUUAAAAGAUACGACAAAAUUAAAUCCAUUCCCAAUUCAACAUAACAGAUAAUGUAAUCCAUGAACCCAUUAAACAGAAAAUCCAUGAACCCAUACCUAUAAGCAUUGGUGCACUUUGCACCUUCUCCAGAGCGGAAAAUGACAAGAUCAAAUAAAGGUGUCCUUUUGCUGGAAAUCAUUUGGAAGUUGGUGAUGUGUCUUUUUGUGUUGAUUUCCAGCAAAAGUACACCUUUAUUUGAUCUUGUCAUGAACCCAUUAAACAGAAAAUCCAUGAACCCAUACCUAUAAGCACAUUAUUAACAGAUCGCAAAGCAUAUACCUAAAACCCUUUAACAAAACAACCUAAUAUCAUUCAAUGAAUUUACAAGGGGAAGAUAGGGUUUGUACUUACAGGUUGGACGAGCUCACAGAUUCGACGAGCCUGGAGAGUGCAACUUUUAAUUAGAGCAGAAGUGAGAGAGCGAAAUGUUAUGUCGCGUGAAAUCUGAAAUUUUAGGUUUCAGGGAUCAAAGUAUAAGACUAAGAGCCAAAUCUAAAAAAAUUUAGGUCGCGCGAAAAUUUUUAGAGCGCGCGCGUUAUAAAACGUCGAAAGAAAAACCAAGGCGAAAGUUCUACAAGUACCGACGUAAAUUUAAUAUUCCACGACGGAAACUUCAUUUUUCGGAUUAAGAACGUAAGGCCGUUCAUUUUUCGGAUUAAUUUUAAAUUUAUUUUGAAUUUUUUAUAUAACGACGACUGAAAAACCACGUCGGUGUUAAGAAAUUAAAGACGUUGUAAAUUAUAUAAACCGACUUACAUAUUAAAAUAACGUCGUUUAAAGCGUAAACCAUGUCGUAUGUUUUACUGUACGACGUAAAAUAUGUAUUCCACGACCCAACCACCGUCGUUAAAAAUUAAUACACUAAACCCAUAAAAUUAAAUUAUACAAUUUAAAAAAUUAAGUUUAUAAAAGGUUUUAUGGUUUUAAAGCCUAACAUAUAACAUAGACUACCCAAAAAUUAUACUUUAAAAAUAAACCCCAAUAAAUAACAACACUAAUCUCUAAACCCUAGACUCUAAACCCUAAACCAUUAAACUAGAAGUGAUUUUAUGACUCAUCAAAACAAUUUUGUUUUGGAUGGUCAUUUCAAAUUUUUGUUAUUCAAAAUGAAUUUUUUCAAGGUUUAUGUGGAAGAAAAUAUAUCAAUGACUUCAUAGGAGUUGACUUUUCAAUUUUCUGAUUUAUUUUAUAUUUAUUUUGAAUAUUUUGAUAUAAAAAUAAUAAAAUAUUCUUACCACAACAACAAACCACGUCGGUGUUAAAUAAAUUGUAGACGUUGUAAAUUGUAAUAGACUACUAAGUCGUUAAAAUGAGAAACCACGUCGGUGUUAAGAAAUUAAAAACGUUGUAAAUUAUAUAAACCGACUUACAUAUUAAAAUGACGUCGUUUAAAGCGUAAACCAUGUCGUAUGUUUUACUGUACGACGUAAAAUAUGUAUUCCACGACCCAACCACCGUCGUUAAAAAUUAAUACCCUAAACCCAUAAAAUUAAAUUAUACAAUUUAAAAAAUUAAGUUUAUAAAAGGUUUUAUGGUUUUAAAGCCUAACAUAUACCCUAGACUACCCAAAAAUUAUACUUUAAAAAUAAACCCCAAUAAAUAACAACCCUAAUCUCUAAACCCUAGACUCUAAACCCUAAACCAUAAAACUAGAAGUGAUUUUAUGACUCAUCAAAACAAUUUUGUUUUGGAUGGUCAUUUUAAAUUUUUGUUAUUCAAAAUGAAUUUUUUCAAGGUUUAUGUGGAAGAAAAUAUAUCAAUGACUUCAUAGGAGUUGACUUUUCAAUUUUCUGAUUUAUUUUAAAUUUAUUUUGAAUAUUUUGAUAUAAAAAUAAUAAAAUAUUCUUACCACAACAACAAACCACGUCGGUGUUAAUAAAUUGUAGACGUUGUAAAUUGUAAUAGACUACUAAGUCGUUAAAAUGACGUCGUUAAAAUGAGAAACCAUGGCGGCUAUUUAACUAUACGACGUAAAAUAUAUAUAUCAACGACUUAACCGCUGUCGUUACAUAAACGUCGUCGAUGAUACCCUGAACCCUUAAGAAAUUGAAGAUGUUGUAAACCAUAAACGACUCAAUUGUUCAAAGAACGUCGUCUAACUAUAUUUUUACGUCGUAAUUGUUUAAAACACGAAACAACAAAAUACGACGGUUUGUGACUUUAUUAGGUCGUUGGAAAAGUAUUACACGUCGGUUAAGCAAUUUGUAUGUUUGUUUUUUUUUUAAUUUAAGAAAACCUCAACAAAUUUUUACAUUACAUAUUAUAGAGAAAAUUUGUACAUUAUACAUAAAUAUCAAGUGUUCAAUAAUUGCCCUGUUUAAUAAUUUGGAAAACAAACUCUGCCCAUUCAUUCCGGACUUCAUCAAUGGCUUCUUGGGGGUAUGAAGCUUCCUGGUUUCCCUUGGCAUACUGCAUAAACAAUGACUAUUAGGGUUUAUAAAUAAAAAGAAAUUCAAUCACAGACGACGAUAUUUUUCAUAACCGACGUAGUAUAUCCAUUCAACGACGUUAAUUUUACAUGACCGUCGUUGAUAAUACAAAAAACGACGUGAAAUGUAUGAAGGUAAUUUCUUCUUACCUUAUUCUCAAACCCCAAGGAAGGAUCCAUGAUGAUGUCCCUCAUGAAGCGCAUCACAUAAUACCCGCAUUCGACAUUGCUGGGUUGCUUUGGUGUGCCUGAGAGAGUUUUCCAAAUUACAUUUUUACGUCCUGCUCGGCCUAUGUGGGUAUUAUAUAUUUUUAAAGCACUGUUCACGAUGUUUUUCGCCUCUUCGUCGACCACACGAUGACCUGGCAGAGGAUCCAGAAAAUAGACGGUCUCCUUCUUUGCUCUUACAAUCAGCAGGAUCCAAUGACGGCUGCACAAAAUUAAUAUAAAAACGACGGUUAUUUACAAAAACGACGUAUUAUAGUAUUUCACACGACGAAAUAAAGUAGAUAACGACGACAUUAUAUAUUUAUCACGACGACAAAUAAAUACCGACGUGGUUAGUAGUUUCAAACGACUAAAUAAAAUAAAACACCGACGUGGUUAGUUUAUAAGCUGUCAUUUAUUGAAAAUCAUAAAAACAAAAUCCUAAGGAGACUAACCCUGGAUUGUAAGGCAUCAUGAAAAGCUGUUCACCGUCUGUCUUCUGAAGUCGAGCUGCUACCAGUCGUGAUCUUUCAGUUAUUGUGCCAGAGUUGGCACUAACUGUAGCAGGGUCAAUAAAGCCAACCAUGCUGCACAUAUUGGCUUGUUUCAAAACAUCGUGUAAGUACCUAAAUACAUAAAAUAAUAUAAACAAGUCAGCACAAACAAACACGACGGUUAUGUAUAAAAAAACGACGUAUUAUAAUAUUUCACACGACGUACUGAAAUAGAUGAGGACGUUAUAAUAUAUUUAUCACGACGGUAGUUAGUUAAGACGACGUGGUUAGUUAGUUAAGACGACGCAAUAUAUAAACCAACGAGGUAUUAUUUUAGAAGUACAAACCUCAUAUAUACAGCCAAUACAGUAGCUCCAAUUUCUUCCAUGCCUGCAAAUUGUGUAAUAUCUUCAGGCAGGAGGAAGGUAUCGCGCUCACCACCAAACACCUCCUUAUCAAUUGUAAAUUGGAGUGUCUUAUCCUCAGGCAGGAGUGUCGUUUCCACAAAACGACAAAGGGUUUUUAAAGAAGAUGGCGCCUCCAUAUUUGAAUAAGCACCAACUUCAAUAACCUGUUUAAAGAAAUAAAAAAAAUGACGUGGUAAUUCAAUAAAGACGACGGUUUAAGUAAUAAAACGUCGUCUUAAAAGUAUUUAAACGACGGUGAAAAAACUGUCGUGGUAAUUCAAUAAAGACGACGGUUUUAUGAAUAAAGCGUCGUCUGAAACCAUUUAAACGACGGUGCAAAAACCGUCGUUUAAAUAUUUUAUUACGUCUUAAAAAAAUUCCGCCGUCUAAGUUUUAAACAAACGACGGAUUAAAUAAAAAUAUCGACGUCUGAAAUUUUGAAAAACAAAUAAAAAAGGCAAAGUUAUGUGAACAUACCUUGUCGUCAUGCUUUUCUUCAUCUUCUUUCUCCUUUUCUUCUUCCUUCUCUUCAUCUCUUUUUUCUUCUUCCUUCUCUUCAUCUGGCUGAUGUUUCCCCAUUUUGGCAGUAUCAUCCUCCAAAUGUAGGGAUCUCACAUCACCUCCAGAGCAGCUAGCUUUGUCAGACAUUGGAUUUUUGGGGCUUUGGCUAAUUCUUGGUUUAAGCAUGCUUGGAUCAAAAUUGGGAAUUAAUUGGGAAAGCUGACUCAGGAAAUGCUCCCUCUCAGCCUCUACCAAUUGUUUUGUCCUAGCCUCCAUCCUUAAGGCCUCUUCCCUUGCCUUAGCCUCCAUCUUUUUAGUCUCUUCUUGAAGGAGAACUCUUAAACUGUCCUUCAAACGGUCGUCAAAGCUCACCCUCUGUGGUUUGGGCAAAUUGAAAUAUUGCCUUGGGGAAACACCAGCACCAACUCCCCUCAGUCUGCCUGGAUGCUCGGGGCCCAAAGCCAUGGUCAGCACAUCAUUGCUGCCAUCUACUCUGACUUUGCCUUCCGAGACUUGUUUCUGCAAUUCAUCCUAAAAAAAGAUAAACAAAAAAACACACGACGGUUAUUUAUGUACAAACGACGUAUUAUAUAAUUUCACACGACGCAAUAACGUAUAAACCGACGUUAUUAUAACUUAUCACGACGGUAGUUAUACCGACGUGGUUAUUUAUUUAAAACGACGAAAUGAAUAAACAACCGACGUCUUAUGCUAUAAUUAAAGAUAACAGAGUAGUGAUUCCUAUUUAGACCGUUAACGACGUUUUUAAAAAAUUUUCGACGUGGUAAUAUCAUUCACACGACGCGAAAAUGAACCACCGACGUCUUAUGCUGUAAUUACAGAAAACAUAGUAGUGAUUCCUAUUUAGACCUUUAACGACGUUUUUAAAAACUUUUCGACGUGGUAAUAUCAUUCACACGACGAAAAAUAUAACAUACGACGUAAUAAGAAUAAUUCACAGUUUAAUAAAAAUUUAAAACAGAGUGAUAGUAGGCUUACAAUUAAUUUUGCUUUCUUUGCCACCUUUGGAUCAGGGAUGUUACCAUGUUUGUCCUGUCUAGCUCUCUUCCAUAAGGUAGAUCGAUCAAUUUCUACCCCAGGCAUGGUUUCCUCCAAUUGAUCCUCCAAUCCAGCAUAUCCUUUUCGAGACAAUCGAUGAUUGUACUCGAGUUUCUCCCUAAUCUGUGCAUGUUGAGAAUGCACAGACUCAAAAUCUUUGGAUAGCCUUGAAGCUACAAAGGCAUCCCAUUGUGCUUUCUCUAUGAAUUUAUAUGUUUCAGGGGGUUGGCUUAAUUUCUCCCUGUCAUUGGUGUAUGGAAGGAUAUAAUGCCUCGUUAGUGUAGACUUGAAAUCCUUCCAUUUCUUGGAAGCAGAAGCUAAAACAGAGGUCUUGCCCCCUUGGCCUACGACAAAAGCCAUGUCAACUGCUUCCCAAAUCUGCUCCUUUAUAUCCUUGGGGAUUUGGGACCAUUUCUUGUCCACAAGUGGGAUCCUGGAGCGUGCCAACACACCAAUAUACGACUGCAUCUCAAUAUGUGCUUGGCCAACACCUUUCCCCCUUUUAUUGUACUCAACAAUUGGCCUCAGUUUCUGAAGCUUUCUCUUCACAACACGAGGCAUUGUGCUCAUACCUCGACCAGUCUUUGAAUCAUCUGAGAUUGUUGUCUGGCUGGUUUGUUCUGACCAGUCUUUGAAUCAUCUGAGAUUGUUGUCUGGCUGGUUUGUUCUGUCUCAGCAGAUGAUGAAGCAAACUUCAUCAAGCUUCUUGGAGCCAGAAUCCUUAGUUUGUUGUUGAGAAACCAUUUUAACAGACUUCUUGGAGCCAGAAUCCUUAGUUUGUUGUUGAGAAACCAUUUUAACAGACAAAACUGCAAGUGAAAAUAUUUCAGGAAAACAUUAAGAACACAAACGACGGUAUUAAAAAAAUACGACGUAUGAUAUGAUUUUAGACGACGCACGACGUCAAUAGUAAUACACCGUCGUGGUAAACUAUUAUUUAUAUAACGUCGUGGUAUUUAUGUUCAUACGACGUCAAUAGUAAUACACCGUCGUGGUAAACUAUUAUUUAUAUUUUAUCGUCUAUAUUAGAUACCAACCCUAGUUUCUUUUUCUUUAUAUUUUAUCAAAUAAGGGAAAAACAAAAACCAUUGUUCAGCGAAAUCAAACCUGCAAUUAAACAAGCAUAUAAAAAAAGACUAUUAUUUUAAAAACAACUUUGUCAAUUUUCAGACGACGCUAGAGCAACUGACGAACCGUCGUGGUCUACCGUCGUCUUAUUUAGUUGAUGUAGUUGUCUUCAAAGUUGGAAACUUUCUCUCUUUGUCUGUAUAUUUUAUCAAACUUGGAAAGAAGUAAAAUGAUUUUGGCCAGAAAAAAGGUAAAAAGAUUUUUCAAACAAAAAACGUAUGAGCAUGCAAAACAGUAACCAAAAUAGUGAAAAUGAAAGCUUACCUUUUGCGUGCAAUGAAAGCAAGAGGAAGAUGAUCGAUGUUUAAGUUCAGAGACGACGAAGAAGACGAGAGGAAGACGAUGAGAAACUCUGACAAUGCUCUGACAAGGAAAAAAGACGAAAAGGUUUCUCUGGGAGAUUGAAAUUUUUAAUCGGGUUUGGAAACAGUGCAUGUGUAAGUCGAAAAGUUGCUUACAUAUAAAACCAUUUCAAAAAAAUAAUACGGCGGUUACAUUUAACUACGUCGUUUUUAACUAAAACGACGCAAUAUUUUUCAUUCGACGUGGAAUCAUUUCAUUUAACGUCGUUAGGUUUAAUAUAACCGACGUGGAUUUUAAUUUUUAAAUUAUGAAUAGAAUUUUUUUUCCCGUGACCUUUCAGUUUAUUUUUCAAUUACAGUGCGUUAUAAAUAGAGUUUUUUUUCCGGAGGAAAUUUAAAACGAAGGAAAUUAAUAUUCUGCAAUAUGUAAAGUUUCUUUUUUGGAUGACAGAUUUAAAUAAAAUAAGAAUAUAAAAACAACAAAUGUGUAAGUCAAGUAGACGAAAAGUUGCUUACAUAUAAAACCAUUUCAAAAAAAUAAUAUGGCGGUUACAUAUAACUACGACGUAUAAAUUACAAAAUACGACGGUACAUUUAACUUCGGACGUGGUAAAUAAAUACGACAGUAGUUUGUAGGUACCGUCGUAGUAAACUCAAAAAUUAAAGUACAUAAGUAAUAACUCGCGUCAUGGUAUAUUAUUUAACACGUCGUUUUUAUUAAUUUACCGACGUGGAUUUCUGUAAUAUACGUCGAUCAUACCGACGUUGAUUUUACAAUUUAAACGGCGGUUUGUUUGUAAGGACCGCCGUUGGUUUUAAAAAUUUAUUCUAUAAAUUUGUCGCUUUCAUUCAUUUUCGGUUUACAUUUAAGGUUCCAAGUUCUUCCUCUCUCAGUCUCUCAUGUCUCAAAGAUAAUAAUUUGGAUGUUUUCUCAAAGAGAAAUUGAGCUUACUCGCAUCAAAUAUAUGUCCACAAGAAGAAGCUUGUCAACUAGCCUUCUCACUUCCUUGAUCAAGCCUGAUAGGACACUUAGUGCUUCUGAAUACUCCUUGCUUUCCAUCAAAAGAGAUGCAAGCCUGGCCUCCACUCGCUGUCGAAGGAAAGUUCGCUUCUCAGGGAAAUCUGAAGAUCAGAUGUGCCUGAUCCUCUGCUUGAUUUUCUUGCCUAAGAAGAUCCGUCGGAUUUAUUGUGAUAGCCUCUUCCUUUAUCCGUAGAGCUUCAGAAGAAGAAGAUGGGUUUCAAGAAUGCGAUAAAGAAUAGAAAUGGCUUCAGAUGGCCUCUAAAGCAUGAGCAAUUGAAUCAGUAGUUUCUGGGAGAUAUGAUGAAGACAUUGUCAAUGCUUUGAACUACACAAGUCCUGCAGAAAGAUAUGUUAAAGAAACUGAAACAACGGCGGUUUUCUGUUCUACCGUCGUCUUUUCUCGUCGUCUAUAUUAAGUUACGAUGGCGGUAGAUUUAUAAUUACCGACGUAGAUUAUUUUGUUAAACGUCGUUAAGUGUACUACAACCGACGUGGAUUUUAAUUUUAAAUUAUAAAUGGAGUUUUUUUUCCCGUAUUCUUUCAGUUUUAGUUUUCAAUUCCAAAGCGUGAUAAAUAGAUUUUUCUUUCCCAAGGAAAUUUAAAAUGAGGGAAAUUAAUGUUCUAGAAUUUGUAAACUAACACGACGCAAUAUUUGCAAAUCUGUGUCAUCUGUUAAGAUUAUGAUGUGGAACAGAGUUCCAUCUUGUAAGAUUUCGUAACCCUUGGGAUCUCAGACAAAACUGAUUAUGUCGGCGGUGUUCUAUAUAAACCGUCGUGGUUAUUUCAAUUCUUGUCAUUAAGUAGAUCUACCGACGUAGGAUAAGAAAAUCAAAGAAAAAAAUUGUUAACAAAAAUUCUUAUUAAGACGACCGUUAAAAUUAAAGGUACGACGUAUAAAAUGAAUAAAUACGACGAUAAAUUUUAUUGUACGAUUUAAAGAUAACGUAGUAGAACUAUACGAGAAUGACGUCGAUAUAUUUAUAUUUUCCGUCGUUGUAAAUUAAUUUAAUACGGCGAUAUUUUGUAUUUUAAAGCCGUGGAUUUGUUUGUAAUUAUACGGCGUCUUAUACGAAAACCUCGUCGUGUUAUUUUAUGAGUAAAAACGGCAGUUUUUAUUGAAAUCGUCGUCUUUACUUUCUACGUCGGUCGAUUCAUAACUUCUGCCGUUCUUUGUUGGCAUUGAUUUUACACUGAGGAAAUCUGUUUCAAAUAGACGUCGGUUGUUUAAUUAUGUACGUCGUUGUUUUUGAACAGCCAUUUGAAACUCCAUUUUUUAGUUGUCUAAGGUUGUAUUACACGACGGUGUUUUUAGAACCGUCGUCUUUUUAUAAACCACGACGGUUUUCACUUAGACCGUCGUUGUUUUCUGGUCGUCUUUUUCACUUUUUGUAGUAGUGAAAUUAUGACCAUUUCUUUUAUUCUUAGAAUGAUCCCACCAAGAUGGAAAGCCAACUAAUUCAUAACAAUGUUCACGAGUGUGCUUUGAACCACUACAAUGAGUGCACUUGAAAACUGGUUUGUCCUUCACCCCCUGGGUCGAGGAACUCCCAUGAGAUGAAGGUGGUCCUUUGGAACGUUGAGCCACCAUGACAGUAGCAUCAAGAGAGGCGGCAGCACCAGUAAAAUUGGCGCGUUGUUGUGCAUCAAGCGAACAUAAGCAAAACUUUGGUCGAGAUCCAAUUUAGGUUCCUUGCGGAGGAUUUCACUACGGACUUGAUCAAAUUCGGGAUCCAAUCCAGAAAGAAAAAUAUGAACUCGAAGACGGUCGAGUUUUUUUUGGUAUGUAUCAGUGUCAGUAGGGCACACCAUAGAUGGGGUCUCGCGAUGAUCCAGUUCCUGAAAAAGACUCUGAAGCAUGCUAUAAUAUUUGAAACAUGUUGGCCAUUCUGUUUGAGAGUGAAUGCCUUCCUGUUCAAUUCGUAAACUUGAGAUUCGCCGGAUCCAUCAUAGAAAACUUUCUUGAUAGCAGCCCAAAUCUCCUUGGCAGUGCGAAGAUGAAUAAAGCAGCCCAUCAACUCAGGGGACAUAGAAUCAAUUAACCAACCUUUGACUCGUAGAUUUUCAGUGGUCCAUGCAUCAAAAGUAGGAGCAGCUUUGGCUGGCACAAAAAUAGAGCUAGUAAGAUGGCCCAACUUUCCACGGGUAGCAAUUCGAAUUUCCAUGAGUUAAGACCAAAGAGCAUAAUUGGUCUCAUUGAGAAUAACUCCUGUAGGCAACGCAGAAUUAUCAUUCUGGAUGGUGACAAUCUGUGGAACCGACGAAGUUGGAGGUUGUGCAGCGGAGGUCGAAGAACUAUCCGGGAGAACAAGGGAAGCCUCGGUGUUGUCAUCGCAGCGAAAAUUGAUGGUGUGGAAGUAUGAACUCAAUAUAUGUGGAGGAUGGAUGAAAAACUUAUGAACUCAAUAUAGGUUUGAAUUCAAUUAGAGGGUUUGGGAUAAACAUGAAACCACCAGAUCGGUGGCUCUGAUACCAAGUAGAAAUAUAUGUUUCAGUAAAACUGAUACUUUCUAUUCAUCUCCAUAAUGAGCUAUUUAUAUGUUUACAUAGGGUUUUACAGGUUUAACAAGGAAAUAAAAUAAACUAAGAAACAAAGUCCUAAUUGUACAAGAAUUAGUCAACUACACUAAUUAGGAAAUCACUUUCCUGAACUCACGCACACGCCAACAAUAUAUACAUACAUAUUCGUAUUAUAAUAUAUAUUACAUAUAUACAUGUAUGUUAUUAUAAUGGUAUUAAUAUAUAUGUAUAUGUGUAUAUGGAUAUAUUAUAAUAAUAUACAUGUAUAUAUCUACAUGUAUUUAUAUCUAUAUAUAUAUAUAUGUGUGUGUGUGUCCCUGUUUUGUUUUUAUCUUGCAUAACAAAUUAAAUAAAAAUCACAAAAAUACACUGAAAAAUGCUAUAAACUCCUUAUUUCUCCAUUACUGAGAUCUAAAAUCAUAAUUUCAUAUAUUUUAAUUAAUGAGAGAUCAUUGAAUCAAAGAAACAAUAGUGUAUUGCAUAGAAUGUUUUGAUUUGUCUAAGAAGAAGGUUAAGUUUUUAUUAUUGCUUUGUUUUCUUAGUGGCCAUUUAAGAAUUUGUGAGGAAUUUUAUAAUAUUUGUACAAUAUACUAACAUAAAAUUGUAUGUACCACAAUAUUUGAGAGGGGGCCAGUGCCCACCCUGGGCAUGCACUGGCUCCACCAGUGGAUGUAAAUUCAUGAUUCGAAAUAUUGAAGUUAAUGGUAAUCAAUAGAUCAAAGAAACAAGAUUAUAAGGUGGUAUAAUGUUUUGUUAUUACCUUUAAAAAAAAACAAAAAUAUCGCGGGUUGAUGGUUUAGGGUAAAAACUAAAUGGAGAUAUAAAUUCAUGAAACCUUUCAUUUUUAAACACUAAAUGUCUCAUAGGUAGCCUAAUGGCCAGCAUCAGGGUUGAAAUUGACAAGGGAUCACUGUUCUCGUUCACUUGACUCUUCAGAAUAUAUAUAUAUAUAAACCAAUUCAAGAGGUCGGCUGUGUGUGAGAUGAUGAAACACAAAAAAGGUAGUACAGAAUGUUAGAUAACAAUGGGUCAAGGUGUCUAUGAAAGAAACACGUGUUUAUAAAAAAAUUGUGGGAAUCAAGAAAUUUCAUAAGGGUGUGGGUCAUAACUUUUUUUCCCAACUGUUUAAGGAGCUGCGUUGCACGACAUAAGGUUCCUAUACGCGCGUAAGGUGUGAUAAUUUAAGGUUUAAGGUUCAGGGUUUAAGCUUUGUGUGACGGAAGUAGUACUUCUGCGUCGCGCAAGUUGCGAUAAUUUUUGCAUAAAAACAUUUCUCUGGAAAAAAAGUAGCCCUUUUUUAAAAUUUCACGAACUUGCGCGACGAAACAGGUUUCAUAUGUUGCACUUCUAUGUCACGCAAGUUGCAAUAAUUUUUGCGUGAAAACCUUUCUCUGGAAAAAGAAAAAAUAGCACCUUUUUUUAAAUUUCGCGAACUUGCGCGAUGAAACAGGUUCCAUACGUCGCGCAAACUCUAAACCGACGUAAGCUGUGCUUCUAUGUCUAGGAAGUUGCGAUAAAUUUCGCCUGAAAACACUUCUCUGGAAAAAAAAAAUAGCGCCUUUUUAAAAAUUUCGCCAACUUGCGCGACGAAACAUGUUCCAUACGUCGCGCAAACUCUAAACCUAAACCCUAAACCCUAAACCCUGAAUAAAACAGUGCCUUUUUUAAAAUUUUCGCUAGUUUAAGGGACGAGUUUAUUUUAUCGUCGCGCAAGUUAGCGAAAAUUUGCAUUAAUUCUGGUAACCCCUCUCUCUCUCUCUCUCUCUCUCUCUCUCUCUAUGGGCCCGCGACUCUUCCUCCCACCGUGCCCUCCCAAACCUCCAUACCACACCCACCGGCCACGGCCACCCACAAGACCAGACCCAAAACAUCCAGCCGCACCCUGCCAUCGCAGCCCAAUCCUUCGCAACCCCCGUCGAUGACCCCAGCCAUCGGAAAUUCAACAUUUUAGGCCGAAUUUCCCCCCAGAUUCAAGCAUCUCAAUCUCUCACCUUUGGCCACCAAUUCGGUGGAGUUAGGUGUGGAUUUUUUACUAUUUUACAUGCUUUAGCUUAUGGUUGGGUAGGAUUUGAUGAAUUCCUAGCGUAGGUGGUUCAAUUUGAACCCAAAUGUUGGCCGGAUUUUGGGAUGAAAUUUCAGCCACUUCCGGCAAUUUUUUGGGGUAUGCUCAAGAACAAAACUGGCUCUAAUCGAUGACCUAAACCUAGGGUAGGAAGAUUGGCCCUUGAUUUUGAGAUUUUUUCGGCGAUCGUUAUUGCUUUGGACACCUACGCACUGCCCGUGCCUGUGGCAGCGCGUGGGCAUAUACCAAAAGAGCAUUGUGUCUCGAUGCGAUCCCCUAGUUGUCAUGAGCGUGUAGGUAUAUAUGGAUUCCAAUUUGGAUACCGUUUGAGCCUCGAACGGAUUUCGCCUAUUGUGCGAUUUUCGGGUUGGAUAUUUUGGACCGUUGGAUCGAACUCAAAGUAAUGUAUGUUGUACCUUGUAUUUCCAGGAUUGUAUAAGAUUCAACGGAUCGUGGAACGAAGUCCCGGAUACUUUGAAAUUGCGAACCCUAAGACAAGAUAUGCUUUAAUUAAUUAGUAAAUAUUCUUAUAUGUUUUUGUUUAUGUUGACUAAUUUAUUUGUUGGGUUUUUAUUUUGAUUAGUUAGUAUUAAUAAAUUAUGGGUUUUUAUUAGGUUGUAUAUGCUUAGGUUAUAUCUUGCUAAAUUGGAAUAAUUUUUAUAUUUGUUAAUUAAUGAAGAUUCUUAUAUAUUUUUGUUUUAUUAGUGGUUGGGAUUUAUGUUUGUAAAUUGGAUUAACUUUGGAUGCUUGUUCAAUUGUUCGAUCAAACCUGAUUAGAAGACGUAAGGCGGUGAUGACUGCACAAAGUUCGCCUCCCAUGGCUCAGCCGUCAGCUGCCAUUGCUCUAGAACUGAUGGACCACUUGCCAGUUGGUACCGGGGUGUCCCAUGCGCCCGCGUCAUUAGUGGCGCAACCUGUUAGCUCCAAGAGUCGUCACCUGCCUGCCAACACCACCGACACCACAUUGACAGAUGCUACUGGUGCGUCGGGGUCACAACCAGGUAAAGAUUUCCUUGAACUCCAUUUGUUUUGGACCAAUAUUUUUAUAGUUGAAUUUGUUAUUUAACGUUAAUUUCAUAUUUCUUUGCAGCCAAAAAGAACACCCGGGGGCCUUGUCGGCAGUUGAAGACGACGAAAGUCACUCAGGGUGACCAACAGUCGUAUCAACAUCGGAUACGACGAGUGGCAUCGGGCUGCACCAAUGGCGGAAUUGCAUAGCUCAUUGGCCCACGACAUUAGUUAUGUUUUUCAGACCCAUUGCCUGAUGAAAUGGAAGUCUUGGAAGGUCAUACCUGACGAGAUCAGGAUGGAGGUCAUGCCUGACGAGAUCAGGACGGAGGUGCGCGGACAGUUGUCGGUAUGUAUCCUACCUUUUAAUUGUUUUUCCUUCAAACUUUAUAUACUUCUAUUACUUAAUGUUUGUAAUUAAUUUAUUGUAGACGAACUACAAUUUAGAGGACCUCGAUGACGAGUCGAUGGCGUACGUCAACAGACUCUUUGCUGACAGGUACAAGCAGUGGAAGAGUGACUUGCACCACCAUUUUCAAGCAUUUGAUGAUCCGCAUGUCGCUCUUUAUGAGGGUUGCCUGAAGGAGCUUGAGGGUCGGGAAGAUAGUUGGGUGUGGCUUUGCGGUCAUUUUCAGCAUGUCGCUCUUUAGGAGGGUUGCCUGAAGGAGCUUGAGGGUCGGGAAGAUAGUUGGGUGUGGCUUUGCGGUCAUUUUCAGGCACCCGAUUAUGUGGUAUUUUUUUUAUAUUAAGUUCAAAAUUAUUACAUGUUUCUUACUAAUCUUUAUUUAAUUUUUAUAUUUCAUUCCAAUUUCAACUAAUACGUUUAUUUUUUGUAUAACAGAAUAAGGCCAAAGUAAAUAAAGGCAAUAGGAACAAGAAGACUCUUCUCCACCAUUCAGGUUCUAGGCCUUCUCAUAUAAGAUGGACGCGCAACGAGGGGUAAUAAUAAAAUUGUUUAUUCAAUUUUUAAUAUGUCAUUAAUAUUAAUUUAUUUUUUUCGUACUAACAUUUUUCUUCACUUGUUCAAUUCAGGGGGGGUCCAAAUUCCCAGAGAUCGACGUCUUUGGCGACGUUUAUGUGCGACCUGGGAAUAAGUAUUAUUUAAUUUUAAUUAUUAUCUUACGCAUUCAAGUUUCAGGGUUAUUGUAUGAAUGUUUUAAUUCAUAUUUUAUGUUAUGUUAAAAAGACGACGACGGUGGAGAGGAGCUAGUUGGUUCUUCAAGAGUCUGUCUCCCAACUUCCUCUGAUACUUUGCUCGAGUCUGUGGAUCCUCCAUAGGAUGCAGGGUUUCAGAUGCUGAUGGAGACCUUGGAUCAGACUCUCGGGAGGAGGCCUGGGACAUAUUGUCAAGGGAUGGGGAAUGCCCGGCAGCGGGAACUUAGACCCGUUGAUCGUCGCAGUCAAACAGUCAAGUGAAUGCGUUGAUAGCAAAGGUGACCAAGCUUCAGGGUCAGAUGUCGUCCCUUCUAGAGUCCCUUGCUCGGUCCGGCAUUCCAAUCCCACAUUUUCCUCCCUCGUCGAUCUCCGAGCCCUUCCAACCAGAGCAUGGCCACCAGACCUCUGCCCCUGCGAACAAUGUCCAGACCUCCAAUCCGCAUUUGCCGGACGACCAAGUAGAUUUUGGAACAUUCUUUGAUGUUUGAUUAGUUUUUUACUUUCAUAAUUACAUUGUAACAUUUCUCUAACAUUUAUAUUAUUUUAUAAUAAAAAAUUUAUCUUCAUUACAUUUUUUUUAUUUCAAUUUCAUUUUAUUACCAAAAAAGAACCACAUUUAAUUUUUUUUUUUUUACAAAAUGAAAAAACAUAAAAUGCACGACAAAAAUAUUUUGGUCUCGCCAAUUCACUUUUUACAAAAUAAAAAAACGUAAAACUAAAUUUUUUUAAAAAAAAUAUUUAUUUUUGCGCGAUGAUAUGUUUCAUCUCGCAAAAAUGAAAUGCGCGACUAAGACAGUUUCGUCGCGCAACAAGAAUCGUUGAUAAAAUGUUUCAGACACAAAUUGCGCGACGAAUAUACAUUGUCGCGUUGUGUCAUCGCAACGAACUACUUGUCAUCGCGCAAAAGUUUGCGAGACGAACACUUAUGUCGUCCCUAAACUUUUGGUGCAAUGAAGGUUAAUCGUCUUUCAGUUUUUCGUGACCAAUAAAAUAACUUGGUCACGCAAAUGUACUUUGCGCGAGGAAAUUUUAUCCGUCGCACAAACUGUAAAAUGUAGUAGUGAUCCUAAUCAAUCAUGGGAGAAUCCACCAAAACAUGGUCUGCCCAUUAAAAUGCCAACCUAGUUUUAAACUAUUGAAAUUUUAGUGCUUUUUUAAAGCACCGUGAUCAAUGAUUUUGUAAGAAAUAAUUGGAUGUCGAAACGGUUUCCGAUUUGUCUAAUUUUUUUAACGGUGAUCUAUGAAUGUAUACUUAAAAAAUUCCAAAGGUACAACUAUCCUAAUCAAUCAGGGGUUUAUCCACCAAACACAUGGUCUAUCCAUUAAAAUUCCAACCUAGUUUUAAACUACUGAAAUUUUAGUACUUUCUUGAAGUACUCUGAUCAAUGAUUUUGUAAGACAUAAUUGGAUGUCGAAACGGUUUUCGAUUUGUCUAAUUUUUUUUCAACGAUGAUAAAUGUAUACUUAAAAAAUAGAUGGUUUGGAUCGUUUAAAAAAAUCCAUAGAAGACCCUAAAAGGUAUCCCUCAAAUAAAAUUAUUUGAAGAAUCUCUCCAUAAAAGGGGACUAUAUAUAUAUAUAUAUAUAUAUCCAAGAGAAUCUGUGGACACUGAGAAUAUUGCAUGCUUGUCACUUGUCGGCCUAACUCAUAUACUGUCUAUUAAUCAGUCUAUUAAAACAAUCUUGGUGCCAAGAAAAACUAAAAAAUAUGCAACAAACAUUGAAAGGCAAAGCAGAAGAUCAUCAGAAAGAAGAGGCAGAAUUGGGCAUAUGGGAUUUGUGGCAGCCCCUAUGAAUUAGUCACAUAUAGUCAUCUGAUUGAACGACAUCUAAUGGAAUUGCCGUCUCUAGGAUGAUCAAGUUGGUUCAUCACCAAUCUCUCUCAUCAUCCAUCAUCAGAGAUAAAAAUCUAAUGAUAAUUUUUUUUACAUCCAAUUUCUAGUCUUUGUAGAAAUAAAACUUUAAAUCAUAUAAACCACGCUAGUUUAUAGUUCAUUAAUUGACUAAUUUUCAAUAAUAAUAAUAAAUUCUUUCAAUACAUGCGAUAAUGAGGGAGGAAAAAUUGAAACUUAGACAAGGGUAAAUGGUCUUAACUAUUUGAACUACAAGCUCCUUGGAAUCUACAACAAGCUCCUUGUCUCGAUUUGGCUUUUGCAAGAUGAUCGGUAUGUGGAGGCCAAAGGGUCAACACAGGUGAAGUUCCAAUAUUUGAAAAACACGAGUGCAUACAUAUAGCUAUGAAUUUGAAAAUUAAGAUAAAUUAGUUACCAGGACACCACCCUUUGUUCACAGUACAUAAGUUGCGACUAGAUACGUUGAUAAAAAGAAAUCAAAUCUUUAAGAAGAACUACUGGAUGAAAAACCUUUCUUUAAGACUUCAAUAGCACACCAUCAUUUUAGCUUGUUUCUAUAAGGAUGAUAAUCGAUGCACUCAUCGUUCGACUUACACUCAUGACCAUCAUCGGCACAUUUGUGGUUUUGAUGUAAACGCAUUGUCUGCAGCAAUAAAAAAAGGUCCAAAAAUUACUUUUGGCACUUCAAUCAUUUUCGACCCUACAGUUUCAAUUCCGUCAAUUUUGUCAUUGUAGUUUCGUAUUUGUAGCAAUUCAAAGACAUGUUAGUAUUCUUGUCAAUUUCUUUAAUGAUGCAAGGGGCAAUUUCGUUAACCCAAAACCCUUGAGAGUAAAAACUUGUCUGAAAUUCUCCCCAUUUCAUAUUAGGGCUCGAAAGUCAACCACUAAUCCCUUGAAGAACCCUAAACCCAAAUAACCAAUUUCAAGCCCUAAUAUGAAAUUAGGGAAGUUUGAGACGAGCUUUUAUGCUCAAGGAUUUUGAGAUAAAAUUAUCCCCUGACAGUCAAAGAAAUUGACAGAAAUACUAACUUGUCCUUGAAUUGCUACAAAUAUGAAACUAUAUGGUCAAAAUUGACUAAAUUGAAACUAUAUGGUCAAAAGUGGUUGAAGUGUCAAACUACAAGGACCAAAAGUGUCUUUUAAUCAUAAAUUUAAAAUUAUAUAUAAAAAAAUAAAAAAAUAAAAAAAGGAAGAUAAGCUUUUUUGGGCCUUGUGGUCCUUGUUAGCUUCUGCCCAAUACCUGCCGUUCGGUAAAGAGGCUAGGGAAGCCUUGGGUUUUGUUUUUGGAUCAGCGUGGGAAGCUGUAGGCUUGGGAUUGUGAGCCUAGUUUGCUGACUGGUAAAUUAUACUUCCGGAGGUGUAGUACCGAUUCGGCAGCCCAAGACCUGCUGCUCUGUAGGUGUCGCUUAGGGUGAUUUCUUGCUGGAGAUUUUGUGGAGGGUCCACAGUGUAAGGAUUGGUGCUAGGGCAUGCCAUUCGGCAAGGUCUCCUUGUGUUGUAGUUCAGCAAGCUGGGCUUUGUGUCUAUUGGGUCCAGCGAUUUGUAACUUUGGCUCAGGCCUUGCCGAAGUAAGGGAGGUUCUGGGCUUUGGGGUGUAGAGAUUUGGACUUUCAUCAAGUGGGCUAGGGUUUUGUAAAUAUGAGAAGAGUAUAAAUGACUCCGUAUAACUCUUGCUGUUCGGUAGGGCCUGAAUAAGUCGUUAUUUGAGGUUUUGGCAAAGGGACGGAGAGUGAAGCUAGGAGUCGGCUUGAGUGGAGCGGUAUUGGUAGCACAGCUUCGAGUCCGCACAGUUUCAACUGGUAUUUUCAUGAUCCUAAUUUGUCUGCCUAACCCUUGCUAUUCGGCAAGCGUAUUCGUUGGGGUAGUUCUGCAAGGUCCUUCGUGGCUUCAAUAGGAAGGUAAAGUUGUGCUGUGGAGGGAGAAUUGGAAGGAAGGUGUCAGGAGGAUGGCUUGAUUUCGUCCCUACCUAUUCGGAAAAUUUAGAGGCUUUCUCCCAUUUGGCAGCCAUUUGAUAACCCAUAUUCUGCUAUCCCCCCCCUUUGUGCGUAACCCUUGCCAAUCGGCAAGCGUGGGCUGGUGAAAAUUUGUGAGGAAACCCAUGUCGGGUCCAACUAAUUCGAUCUUCGGCAAGAGGGCUUGAUUUUUGUGGCAGCUGGGUCUUUGGGAUUGGAGCUGGUCCAUAUCUUUGCGGUUAGAUGGUGAGGCAAAGAGAGGGUUUGGAGGCUGGACUUUAGGGAGUAAAAAAAAAUAGAUGAAAAAUUAGUUUACAACGAAAUAAAGUUCGACAUAAAUAAAAAUAGAUGAAAGCUUGCCCUACACAAGCUCGGCUUGGAGUUCAUGACUUGAUACGGACGCUCGAUUGAAGACUAUCUACUGCCUGGGAGGGCUCAUAACAGAAAAAGUGUGAGUGGACAAAAUAAAGUUUCGUUAUGUUUGAAAACAACAUAUAAUAACCCCACCAUUUAGAAAACGAUGCUAAAAACGACAUGCAUUCAAAACCAAGGCAGAGAGAGAGAGAGAUAUAUAUAUAUAUAUAUAUAUAUAUAUAUAUAGAGCUAAGUCAAACCAUAGUGAAAUUCAUAUUCUCGUAAUAGCAUAAUAACACCCAUAUCCCAUUCCAAAACCUUUCCUAUUUUUCCCAAACCACUCUUGAAACACAUGCCCGUUGGCACAACGAUCGAGGAAGUAUCCUCACCGAUAAACAAGAAGGAAUAUAUAAGUAUAUAUAUAUAUAUAUAAGUAUGACCACUACCAAACUUGUACUGGGCCUUGAAGGCAAAUUCAAAAUUUUGGCCAUUGGGCAUAUUCGAGAGCUUGGCUUUCGGGGCUAGUCAUAGACAUUUGGGCCUCUAAGUGAUAGCAGCAGGCUAGGCUGUUUGGAUUUUUCUUAAGAGCCUCCAUAUCUUCGGCAAGGGACUUGGGGUUGAAGCACCGGUCUCUAGGAGUAGGGUCCUCGGGUCUAGGCAUUUCGGCAAGACGAGAUCAGGGGAUUUGAGCCAAUCUUUCCGCAAAAAGGUAUUGUUUUGAGUCCCCAAAUUUCUUUCAUGGGCCUGCCGUUCGGCAAGGCCAGCUUGUUUAUUUCGAAAUGAUGGUAACUUUUGUUUUUGUGGUCGUUAGGCCGUCGGUAGGUGUCCUUGGCUUCCUUGUUUCGGCAAGGGCAGAUAUGGGCUUGGGCUGGGUUUGUAGUAGGGCCAGCCUUGGAGCUAGGCUUCACGAUUUAGCAGCUUGGUGUGGGCUUUGCCUUGACAAGGUUGGAGUAGGUAUUUUGGUGAGUUGUCCGUGAGCCUUCAUUUUGCUUCUCCAUGGGCCUUGCCAUUCGACAUGGCCAAUUUUUGAAUUUUUCUCUCCGAUUUUUUUUUUUUGGUUGUAAUUUGAAAUCUGAAAUUCAAAUUUUUGGGAGUAGGUACAACGAAUUUGAGAGGGAAGGUGAAAGGGUGCUAAGGUUUCUCGUGAACCUAGGCGUUGGUACCCUUGAGGCUUUAUAAAUAGGGACUCGGGGUGACGAAGGCUGAUAACUUGAGAUUUUGAGAGAAAUUUUGUAGAGAGUGAGAAGGAGAAAAGGAGAUUUCCGGUGAGAUAUCUCGUGGUGGUGUUGCGGCCAAGGUGAUUUCCCGCGUCUUAUUCGUGGUGGUGCAAACAAGGUUAGAUCUCUUCACCUUUGAACUUUUGAAUUGAAAUGUCCUUUUUUGUAUGAACAUGUUGAAGACUAGGAUGAAAGCCUUGAAUGUGAGUAUGAAUUUGAUGAACACUUUGAACAUUGAUAUGAACUUGUUGAAUGUAUAUUUCGAUCCUUCUUGCAUAUGCAUUAGUUCCUUUUUCUUGUUUCUGCAUAUUGUAGAUGUCUGCAAGUUCUGGUAGAGAAAGUCAUAACCCCUCUGCCUUUGGUAGGGAAGAUACCGAAAGUGAGGAGCCAAGCCUCUAUGUGUGUUCCGAAUGUGAGAGUUCCCAGACAGAGGGUGUGGUAGAAGGUGUUAUAGAAAGUAAGAUGGUGGUGCAUGAGGGUGAGGGGGGUGAGCCAUCAGUAGAAUAUGGGUCAACUGCUUAUAGGAGAUGCAGAGGAACUACAAAGAGUUAGAGGCUAUAGCUGAUCAGGUUCUAGCCUUGCCUCAUACACCAGAGGUGGGCUCGAGCACUCAGGCAUCACCAUCGAGGUCCGUGGGUAUAACUGUAGCUUCAACUUCAGAGGGAGUGGAUAUACGGGUCAGUGUCCCUUUGGCUAGGCGGAAUACACUUACAGAAGUAAAGUUGGCUGAGCUUUGGACAAGUUUUAGUGUUCUACCCUAUGUGGGCUUGAGGAUACCCACUGCAGCUGAUGUGGUUAGAUUUCAUCUGGAGGCCUCUGUGCUGAUUUUUACGGAUAUGUACCAGCAUGGCUUCAGGCUACUGUUUCAUCCUUGGGUGCAAAUGAUGUUGGCCAAGUUAGGGUAUGCGCCAGGGCAAUAUAAUCCCAACUUUUGGAUUCUUCUACAUGGGGUCUACAUUGCUUGGUGGUUGGCUAGCAACAAGGGAAUUUUCGCUGGGUGCAAGCCUAUUGCCGAAAGGCAAAGGAGAGGGGUUAUUUUAUUGGUCAUAAGCCUUCUACUCAGAAGUCCUGGAGGAAUAGGUAGUGUCUGGCUUAUGGUGAUUGGGAGUGUCCACCAGGGAAGACCGUCUCCAAACAUAUUCCUACCCACUUCCAAUCUAUAGGUCAUUGGCCCCAUCCUUUAAGACUGAUUGUUGUUUUCUUGUGUUUUACCUGCUUUUACUCUUGGUUCUCCUUUUUUGCUUGUGCAAGUGUAAAUGGUUGAGUAGUAUCUAAACUUUGUUGCAGGUUCGGUGAAUUGGGAGCCCAUUUCUAAGGAGGAGGAGGAUGAGGUUGAGAGGGUGAGGUCACUGCUGUCAAAGACCGAGCAUGAGUACCGAAACCUAGUCACCCAGAAGAAUCUAUUCGAGUCUGGACACUUGCAAAGGAGUAAGUACCUGGGUUACCAUUGUUGUUUGUUCUCUACCUUUUUGUAGUUGUGCCUAACUUAGCUUUUGAUAUGCAAUGGCAGGUGUUAUAAAGGGAAGCACAAAGGAAGCUGUGGAUAUUGAUGAUGCCGAGAUGCAGAAGCGACUGAGGGCGUCUCGGGCCAAGGAGGCGAAGAAGGGGAUGCUAGGCAAGUGACUGGGAAGCGCCCUAGGGAUGACGAUGAGGGGCGGAUUGCCAAUGCGAUGAGGAAGAAGAAUGCGUUGGAGGAAGCUCGCCAGAGUGUAAUAGGGACAGGGCCGAGCCUUCCUCCCUUCGAUUUGUCGGCGCCGCCUAAGCUCCCCUUCUGUAUGGAGGAUGUUUUUGCUGAAGGGGUGGAGAAGGUGGAUUUCGUCAAGCUCCGUCGGCAGAAGAAUGAGGUGAAUCUAGCAAUGGAUAAGCAGGAGGUGCCCUUGGUGAACGUCUUCCUGGAAGGCAUGAAGAGUGAUCCCGAGGCAUUGGCGAGGACUCAGGCUUCUUCCUUUACAGAUCGGGCCUAGAAGAGGAUCCUUACUUCUGCUUAUGUAAGUUAUCUCUGUUUGGGAAUUUGUUCGUGUCAUUCUGGUUUGCUCUGACUGAUGAUGCUUUGUUUUGUAGGCCUUUGGCGAGAUGUAUGUCAACAUGCUAAGGCAGAUAAGGAGAUCUAGAGGCUGAAGAGGCGCGAUGAGAUGGGCAAGAGUAAGAUGGCAGAGGCGCAAGAGGCCAUUAGAGAAAGGAAUACCCUGCUAUUGCAGAAGGCGGCGCUAGCCAAUGAGGUGAAAGAGCUAAAACGGUUGAAGACCGAUGAGGUAGCUGUUGCCCAAGUAGAAGCGAUCGAGUCAUUCUGAACUUUAGAGGAGUUGAGGAGUUACAUCAUGGACCGGUUGGUAGAUGAGCAGUUUCAUUAGGCGAAGAGGCUGGAGAGCUUCAACCCUUCGGUUGAGAUCAACUUCGACACGAGUGGCGAGCCUUCUUCACCUAGUCCUAUUACCGAUGCCCCUGCCAUUGGGCCAGAGUCAGAGUCAGCCACUGCAGAUACCCCUUCUACCGAGUCCUGAAGGCGUUGCCUUCCUUAUGUACUUUUCUUAUGUACUUUAGUUAUUAUUUUGGAACACUUUUCUUAUGUAUUUUAGUUAUUAUUGCUUCUUGAUAUGAAUAUUUUGCCUUGCUUGGGCAAUGUUAUUUUGAUUUGCUAUGAUAUUAGACUUGUUCUCAUUUGAUAUCAGUUGUGCUAGCAAAAUGAUAAUCAUGUGAUUGAUAGGAAUUAGCCAGAGUCAGGCAUUUCAUUAGAUAGGUGCCGAAAGGCAAAAGGUACAAGAGAUGGUUGAGCAAAGCUCAAGACCAAAGUCUAAGAAGAUAUAAUGUCCUAGAUUCUAGGUGUGUUUACUUAUAGUAGUAUUUGAUGUCAUCAGCGUUCCAAGUAUGAGGUAAAGUCUUGCCCUUAGGAUCAGGAAACUGAUAAGUGCCAGGGCGGUAGACUUUGGUAAUCUCAUAAGGACCCUUCCAUGUAGGACCCAAGGUACCUUCAGUAGGGUUUUUGAUGGCCAAGGAAACUUUGUGCGCUGGCCAAGGAAACUUUGUGCAUGACCCAGUCCCCAGUCUUGAAAGCAUAGGGUUUGACUCGAGAGUCAUAGUACUUGGCGAUACGCUGUCUGCAAGCGACGUUGUGCAUAUUGGAUUGGUCAUGAAGGUCGUCAAUGAAGUCGAGGUUCAGGGCUAACUGUUGGUCAUUGGCUUCGGCAUCGUAAGUGGAGGUUCAGUAUGUGGGCUGGCCAAUCUCCACUGGUGCCACGACUUCGGUACCAAAGGAAAGAGAGAAUGGUGUUUCUCCCGUAGGGGUACAGAAGGUGGUGUGGUAGGACCAGAGAACUUCUGAGAGUAGCUCUGGCCAGCAACCCUUGGCUUUGUCAAGCUUGGUCUUCAAGGUCUUCUUGAUGAUUUUGUUUAUAGCUUCAACCAAGCCAUUAGACUGAGGAUGGGCUUGGGAGGCGAAGCAAAGACGUAUCUUGAGGUUGGAACAAAAUUCCUUAAAUUUGGCAUUGUCAAAUUGCCGGCAGUUGUCUACAAUGGUGUGGGGGAUGCUGAAACAACACACGAUGUUCUGCCAUACGAAUGUUUCGAUGUGAGUUGCGGUGAUGGUAGUUAAGGCUUCAACUUCAGCCCACUUGGUGAAGUAGUCCACAGCCACAACUUCAUAUUUGACAUGACCCUUGCCCUCAGGCAUAGGUCCAUGAGGUCAAGUUCCCAUUGGCCAAAUGGCCAGGGGCUGACCAUGGCUGUCAAUGGUUCAACUAGAAGUUAUGGGAUGUUGGCAAAUGCUGGCACUUAUUGCACUUCUGGGUGAAGGCCUGGGCAUCAGUGUGAAGUGAUGGCCAAAAGUAUCCUUACCGAAUGGUCUUAUGUGCUAGUGAGCGAGUGCCUGAAUGGUUGCCGCAGAUGCCCUCAUGAAUCUCUCGAAGGACAUAGUUACCUUCCAUUUGAGUCAGGCACCAACGGUAGGGGAGGCUGAAGCCACGAUUGUAUAGGGCGCCAUUGAUGAUCAGGUAUCCAGCGAAACGAUAGCAAACACAUCGUGCUUCAGCAUGAUCAGCAGGUAGUGUCUGGUUUUGCAAGAACUGAAGGAUGGGGUCCAUCCAUGUAGGGCUGUGAUCAAUGGUACGAAUGAGUGGUGCUUGUGUGCUGGGUUGAUCCAGAAACUCCAUGUGGAUGUUGCAACCGAUGCCUUGUACUCUGGCGGAUGCUAGCCUGGCCAAAGUAUCAGCAUGGCUGUUCUUAUAGCGUGGCACCUGGCUUAUGAGAUACGCAUCGAAAGUUGUAAGCAGGUGGUGGAUAUGUUAGAGGUAGGCUGUCUUAGAGAUGUCCUUGGCAGUGAAGUCCUUGUUGACUUGAUGGACAAUGAGCUGUGAGUCGCUGAAUAUCUGAAUUUGUUUAGCAACCAUCUCAUUGGCUAGCCGAAGGCCAACUAAGAGUGCUUCGUAUUCGGCCACAUUGUUGGAGUUGCAAAAUUUGAAGCAGAGGGCAUACUCAAGGACAACUUUAUCUGGGGAGAUAAGAACGAGGCCGGCCCUACAUCCCUGGACAUUGGAGGAGCCAUCCAUAUAUAAGGUCUACAAUGGCUGGGUUAGGUCAAGGGUGCCGUUGCUGGCUACGUGGACCUAGUUCGAGAGAAGAGUGAGUUCGUGUAUCAUCUGAGGAACGGCCAAAGCUUAGUCUGUGAAUUCUGAGAUGAAGUCAGCAAUGGCCUGGCCCUUUGUAGCCGAGCGGGGUUUAUAGUGAAUAUCAAAUUCACCCAGCUCAAUAGCCCAUUUAACCAACCUGCCAGAAGUCUCUGGUUUCUGCAAUACUUGCCUUAGUGGUUGGUUGGUUAGGACAUGGAUGGUGUGCGCUUGGAAGUAUGGUCUGAGGCAUUUAGCUGACACCACCAGAGCAAAAGCCAGCUUCUCGGUAGUAUCGAACUUCGGCAUCUUGCAAUGCCUUGCUAACAUAGUGCACUGGAUGUUCGGCACCUUCAUGUGGUUAGAUGAGCACUGAGCUAACGGUCGUGGCAAAGACGGAGAGGUAGAUUGUGAGGAUGUCUCCAGGUUCGGGGGUUGACAAUAAAGAGUGGUGCUCAUGUACUCCUUGAGUUCGCUGAAAGCCUUGUCACAUUCGGCAGUCCAGGUGAUGUGUCGGUUGUUGCCCUUAAGUGCCUUGAAGAAGGGGUCCAGCGAUCAGUAGCUUUGGAGAUAAACCUAGUCAGGGCCGCAACGCGUCCGGUAAGGCUCUGGAUGUCCUUCACCGUCCUGGGUAUCUUCAUGUCUAAGAUGGCCUAAAUCUUUUCUGCGUUGGCUUCAAUACCCCGCUGGUUGAUCAUGAAGCUAAGGAAUUUUCCUGAAGCUGCGCCGAAAGCGCACUUCAUGGGAUUGAGUCUCAUUCUAUACUGCUUCAGGAUGGAGAACAUGUCAGAUAGGUUAGGGAUGUGCUGGCCAGCGGUGCAACUCUUGACUAGCAUGUCAUCGACAUAAACCUCCAUGGUGCUACCGAUUAGUGAGGCGAAGAGGCUGUUCACCAUACGCUGAUAAGUAGCUCCAGCGUUCUUGAGGCCGAAGGGCAUAACCUUAUAGCAGUAUAGGCCAUGGUCGGUGAUGAAGGAUGUAUGGGCUUGGUCAUGAAGGUGCAUAAAGAUCUGGUUGUACCCAGAAUAAGCAUCCAUGAAGCUAAGAAGGGCGUGGCCAGUUGUGGCAUCAACAAGCUGGUCGAUUUGAGGUAAAGGGAAGCUAUCCUUCGGACAAGCCUGAUUGAGGUUGGUGUAGUUUACACACAUGUGCCAGUCUUUCUUUGGUUUGCGAACCAUCACCAUAUUAGCCAGCCAUGUGGGAUAGUCCACCUUCUUGAUGAAUCCAAUGCUACUCAACUUGUCCACCUCCGCCUUAAUGGCCUCGUACCUCUCUAGGUCAUAGGCACGCCGCUUUUGCCGGACGGGUCGGAUGGCAGGAUUAAUGCUUAGCCGAUAAGAAAUAAAAUCAGGUGGUAUGCCAGGCAUAUCGUUGUAAGACCAGGCGAAGACUUCUGAGUUAAGGCGAAGGAAAGCCACGAGAUCAGAGUGAAGCUCUUGGGAGAAGAAGGUGUCGAUCAGGACCUAUUGAUCCGGGAUGUCAUCAGAAGGCAGACAAGCGCAAGGUCCUCCACAGGUUCGGCCUGUUGUGUAACCAAUUCCUCCCUAGGGUCUUUCGGUCGUUCAGUGCCAACUCGAUGAGGGGCUGGAACCUUGGUAACUACAAGAGCCUCACCCCUAUGCUGGCGAUUGGUGGAUCUGACCACUGAAGCAUAGCAGCUUUGGGCGCCAAGUUGGUCGCCACGUACUGUGCCCGUGCCCGUGCCAUGGGGGGUAGGGAGCUUCAGCAACAGCAUAUGCGUGGAAAUGAAAACCUUCAUUUGUGCCAAGGCUGGGCGCCCAAGGAUGACGUUAUAAGCUGUGGGGUAGUCAACAAUAAGGAAGGGAGUGGUGACUGUCGCCCACUAGGGUGCUGAACCAAUAGAGAUAGGAGGAUGGAUGCUGCCAAUGGGCUGAACAACAUCGCCAGAGAAGGCAAACGUGCAGACGUGGGCUAACGAAAACAACUAGCGCUCACAAAUUAAUGGCCAAAUCAUUAAGUCUGGCAUCGUUCCAAAAACAAUUCAGACUUAGGGGGCAUUGUUUGGGUCUAAUUUGACACACCCAAUCUAAAAGAUCAAAAGCCCAUAUCAAUUUCGGACAGUCACCAGCAUUCCCUUAUAGUUGGGCCAAAAUUCACACUCAGCCCAACACUGGAGGCCCAGAAGGAUGAGGCGAAAUCAGACCCAGGCAGUAUGGACAAAAAUUGGAAUCAAGGGCCCAAAUCCAAGAAAGCCCAGCCUAGGACCUACCAAACCACGAGGAUGACUUAGGCUUCGAAAAAAACCCAAAUUGGGCUUGACAUGAUUAAAAGAAAAGAGAAGCCCAAUAAUUAGAGGCAGACCCAUGUGACUGCCUGAAGAAAACUUUGAAAAAGUCAACAUUUUAAACUGAGUUGAUAAAAAAAAUUAAAGACAUCUAUGAAAAACUCUACCACCAGAAGAUCAAAAUCCCUUUUAUAUAUAUUCAAAGAUAUUUUUUGCUCCAAAGAAAGGCACUAUUUUCAAGAGUUAAGCAGACUACGUUUUGGAGAUAAGUAGGAAGCAAGGAGUUGUUCAACUGGAAAAUCAAACUUACAAAAGCAGUUGGAAUUAAAGAAGGGUCAGGUUUUCCUUCAAGAAAAAUAGGGAAGUGAUUGCCUUAGGAACUGACUAUUGAGAGCUUAUCUGCCAGAAUUGAUAAAACCCUUUUUUCCUUUGCAUUUAAAAAUAAAAGAUCUUUUGAGAAUUUUUGCCGCCCAUUAUUAAAAGAAUUAGAAACCCCACUCCAAAACAUUUCUUAUAAAUAUAGAAGAGGGUGAACAGAGCAAACGACAAUCAAUCAAAAACAACCAAAAAAUCAUUAAGCCAUAAGAAAGAAGCCAGCUACAAAUCGAAACUUCCAGUUUUAGACUUAGAAAAAGUCAUUCAAAACGAGAUUUCUCUCGUUACAAAUUUGGUACAACAAAAGCCAAAACAAGCAGAGUCUGGGUUUUUACAAAUAUGAAAACCUCAACAAAUUUAUGGAGAGCCUUGACCAAGCAGAAUAGGUACCACAAUGCAGUUUCAGCUCAGUAAUCCUCAAGUCCAGCCACUUAUGCCCCUUUAAGACUGAAGAGGCCGCAAUUCUGCCUAUUCAAAAUGCCUUAUAGGGCUUGAAAUAGAUUAAAGCUCUGCCAAACUCAAACUUUGGUAUUGAUUUACAGCUGAAGCUUAGCAGCUGAAGUUGUUGAGAGUCCAGUCCAGCACAGGCAUACCCAGUCCAGCCCGGAUAAGAAGCUUCUAUCCAUGUAGAAAUGGAAAUCCACAUUAACUAGAUACGCUGCCACUUUAGCAUUAAUGAUGACAGUUAAACAGAUACAAUAUACAGUUGUGUUGUUUUCAGAGACAUCAUACAGAAGGAAUAACAACAGGAAGGUUAAAACUGGCGGAAAAACCUCCCUCAGUGACAACAGAUCCUUUUCCCCAACCUUAAGUCAACAUGGUCAACUUAAAUUGGCCAGAACAGAAGAGAGACAAACCAGUAACAGAAGCUAGCUCCAGUAGAGGCAGAAAAGUCACAAGGGAGACUACUCAAAGGCCAAAGGAAACCAUCUCGGCUGGGGUAGUGCUGUGCAGCAAGUGCAAGUGUGAAAGUGAGUUAGAAGUAACUCUAGACAGGGAGCGUCAGCCCACACCUAGCGUUUUUGAUCGGAUUGGAACAUCAUGCCGACAAGGCCCAAUUUCGGUUCCAUUUAAAGACAGAGCCAGACAGAAGGACUAUCUUAGGCCUUCUUAGCGCAACAGAAGAAUGAAAGAGCAGCCCAAGAAGGAAAUACCAAUUAAGAUGCCCGGUAAUGAGAAGCCCUUGGCAACUAUCAUAGAAGGCAGAUGGUAUUCAGUUGGAAAGAGAGGUAGACCAACUUUGGAGCUAACCAAAACUCAGAAUAGAAGAGUUCAAAGGCAAUGCUGUACCUUCUUCAAGAACAGGAAUGACACACGGGUACUUUCAGAGACAAGUUCUGCCAGAAGAAGGAAAAAUCCAGAAGUAGCUCCUCAGGCAGAAUAAACAACACAUCAACCACAAGAGCUGAUGAAGACAGAAUCUCCAAGCAGACCUUCCAUACAUCCUGCCUCAUCCUCAGUCGAUCAGCUUGAACCUUCACAAAUACGAGGUGAAUCCGAAUCUAUUCCAGUAGAAGGACAAGAAGACUAGAUUGAAGAAUAUGAAGAGGAGCAGUUGGACUAUGAACAGUCUGUAGAUGACCAGAUUGGGCUCCUCGAAACAGUAGAACAAGAGGACUGGAUAGAAGAGUAUGGGGAACAGAUGGAGUAUGAUGGAGAACUAGAUGAAGAAACAGAGGCUUUUGGUGCAGAAUUGGAAAGCCUAUUGCAGGGUGAUCUAGGUAUUAACAUGGUGUUCAUCUUGCCAAAAAAAUUCAGGGCGGCAGAAGGACAAGAAAACACUUUGGAAUGAGACGUCUUCUCCCAGGAAAGUUUUGAAUGCAGGUUGGCAGAAGUAGAGGAGGUGCCAGAACAUCAAACACCUACUGCCAAAACAUGUGGAACUGCCAUGAAACUGGCUGCAGAACAGCUUUGCUUCUCCAAACCAACUAAGGAAAUGGCUAAUCACCUCAGACCUUUGUUCAUAACAGCAAACUUUAGGGGUAUUCCUAUUCCCAAGGUAAUGGUAGAUGGAGGUGCAGCCAUUAAUCUUCUGCCUCACAGAUUGUUGAGCAAGAUAGGCAGAAUAGAGAAUGAUCUAAUUCCAACACGUUUCACUGUCACCAACUUUGCUGGGGGCAUCACUAAGACUCAUGGAGUCUUGGAUGUGAACGUCAUAGUUGGAAUCAAAGAGCUGAAGAUUGCAUUCUUUGUGGUAGACAUCACUUCUACCACUUACAAUGCAUUGCUUGGCAGGGACUGGAUUCACCAAAGCUUAUGUAUUCGUUUCACUCUGCAUCAGCAACUAGCCUUUUGGAAUGAAGAAGGUCACAUGGAGAUAGUAGAGGCCGAUCCACGGCCAUUUCUGCCUUCUUCCAUGUGUUUUGAGGCAAGGUAUUAUCAUGAUGACAUUGGUCCUUUCACAUUCCUUAGAGUCAACCAGAACGACCGCCCCCAUGGUGUUACGGCCCAGAGAUUUAUUGAAGAUGGUCUAGCUAGUUCUCUAGAGGACUGGAAUAGACCUUUUGUUUUAAACCUCCAGAACUCUGAUGUUUAGUCUCAAUCAACAAGAAAAGGAUUGAGCUGCAACAAUCCGAUCCAUUACAAAAAGAUUAUUGAUAUACUGGGAAGAAAGGAAGCUCUUUGUGUAGAAUCCAGCCAUCAGUAUGGCAGAAUUCACCCAUGAGAGUACUGAAGAACAGGAAGAGAGUUUACAGGAGGAAGUACUAGAUUUUGCACCAGCAGUACUAGAUGACUCUUUACCAAAAGUGGAAGAUCCAUUACAGGAGAUAAACUUAGGGACAGAAGAGGAUCCAAGACCCACUUUCAUUAGUGCACUGUUGAAAGAACCACUCAAGAGUGAAAUUAUUGCACUUUUGCAUGAUUUUAGAGACUAUUUUGCUUGCCAUUCUCAUGAGAUGCCUGGACUAGACAAAAAACUGGUAGAACACAAGUUGCGAAUCAAAGAAGGCUACCUUCCAGUCAAACAGGCCAAAAGAAAAAUGUCUAUGGAAACAGAACUAAAAGUCAAGAAAGAAAUAGAAAGGUUGCUCAAGGCAGGAUUCAUCAGACCGGCCAUUUAUGUUGAUUGGCUAGCCAAUAUUAUGCCAGUUCUGAAGAGAAAAACAGGGGCAAUUAGGAUCUGUGUGGAUUACAGGAAUCUAAAUGAAGCAUCUCCCAAGGAUGAAUAUCCUAUGCUAAUGGCAGAUAUGCUAGUAGAUGGAGCUGCUCAUAACCAAAUGCUAUCUUUUACGGAUAUCAACGUAGGAUAUAAUCAGAUUAUGGUGGCAGAAGAAGACAUCCAUAAAACGGCUUUCAUGUGCUCAGGACAUAUAGGUGCUUUUGAAUACACUGUAAUGCAUGUUGGCUUAAGAGCGAUGAAUUCUGUUUUUCAUGAUAUGAUAGGGCAUUCUCGAGAGGUGUAUAUAGAUGAUGUGUGAUUAAAUCCCUAGAAGAGGGAAAUCAUGUAUCAAAUCUGAGAAGGGCAUUCCUAAGAAUGAGACAACAUAAGUUGAAAAUGAAUCCUAAGACAUGUGUUUUUGGAGUUCAGGCAGGAAAUUUCUUCGGUUUCUUGGUCCACCAAAGGGGCAUAGAGAUUGACAAAAAUAAAGCAAAAUCCAUCAUAGAAGCUCUACCACCUAGGAACAAGAAAGAGCUGCAGAGUCUCCUAGGAAAAAUUAACUUUUUAAGGAGAUUCAUAUCCAAUUCUGCAGGAAAAAUCCAGCCCUUCUCCUCUUUGCUAAGGUUGAAGGAGGAACAGACUUUUAAGUAGGAGGAACAACACCAACAGGCUUUUGAGGAUCAAGCACUACCUCUCAAAUCCACCAGUUAUGUCCCCACCAAAGAGAGGCAUACCGCAAAAACUCUAUGUGUUUGCAUCAGAAGUGUCCAUUGGGAUUCUGUUAGUUCAAGAUAACAAUGAAGGGAAAGAACAGGCAGUCUACUAUCUGAGCAGAACUCUGACAGAAGUAGAAAGGAAAUAUACUGCAAUUGACCAUCUACUUUACUCAAAUCAAGCCCUACUUCACUGCUGUAAAACACAGACACUACAUGCUGCCAUUCACCAUCUACAUCAUUGCCAAGACAGACCUAAUCAAAUACAUGCUAACAAGGCCAAUGUUGAGAGGCAGAAUUAGAAAAUUGACUCUGGCUUUGACAGAAUUUGCUUUCAGAUAUGUUCCUCAAAAAGCUGUCAAAGGACAAGUUGUAGCAGGAUUCCUAGCGGAUCAUCCAGGGGAAGAAAUUGAAAACAUGGACUCUUUGGAUAUAGCAAAUGCAGAUCUGUUGACUAGAGCUCAUACUUGUCUUAACAAUCCCAUCUACUCAGUUCACCUCACACCUUGGAAAUUGUACUUCAAUGGAUCAAAAACUGAUGUAGCCAUUGGGGCAGGUAUUGUUUUGGACGAGCCACUGGGGAUCAGACACUAUUAUUCUUUUCAGUUAGAUUUCCAAUGUGCCAACAACAGGGCUGAAUAUGAAGCUUUAAUCAUUGGCCUCGAAAUGCUGGUGGAAUUAGGAACCUAGUCUGUGGAAAUCUAAGGAGAUUCUAUGCUUGUGUUGAAACAGAUUGCUGGAGAAUACAAGUGUCUAAAUCCUUCUCUAGCUGUCUAUCUAAUGGCAGCCAAAAACCUUCUAACAGAAUUCAGGGAAGCUACUUUGGAACAUAUCCCAAGAGAGGAGAACUUCGCAGCCAAUGAAUUGGCUCAGGUAGCAACAGGUACACAAAUGCCUGAUGACUGUGUGCAAAGAAUUAUCAAGGUGGGAAAGAAAAGUCUACCAUCUGUUAUGACCAGAGGAAUGGAGAUAGAUGUCAAUUCUGCCAUAUUCACUGAAGACGACUGGAGAAUUCCCAUCAUAAAUUACUUACAGUAUCCAACCCUGCCUUCUGAGAAAAGAGUCAGAAUCAUGGCUUUGAACUACCUUAUGUGGAAUGGAGAUUUGGUCCAAAAAAGCAAAGAUGAGGUACUUAUGAGGUGCCUGGGAAAGAAAGAAUACAUGAAGGUCAUGGGAGAGACCCAUGAAGGAAUCUGUGAAGCACAUCAAGGUGGAAGAAAAAUUUGUUGGUUAAUUAGAAGGUAUGGCUACUUCUGGUCAACCAUGAUGAAAGAUUGCAUUGAUUAUUCCAAGGGAUGUGAGGCUUGUCAAAGGCAUGGCCCAAUCCAGCAGGCUCCUUCAGUUCCUAUGAAUCCAAUAGUUAAGCCAUGGCCAUUCAGAGGAUAGGCAAUGGAUCUCAUUGGCAAGAUCUAUCCAGCCAAUAGCAAGCAGCAUUGUUUUAUCAUUGUAGCUACAGACUAUUUCACAAAAUGGGUGGAAACCAAGCCUGUUAAAUCUACUACAUCUCAAGAGAUCAUCACCUUCAUAGAAGAGUAGAUUAUAUAGAGGUUUGGCAUUCCAGAAUCAAUCACAACAGACAGGGGAUCUUCUUUCAUAUAUGGAGAGAUGCAAGAUAUGGCAGAAGCAUUCAAAUUCAAACUACUUCAAUCCACUCCUUAUUAUGCUCAAGCUAAUGGGCAGGCAUAAUCAAGUAACAAGGUGAUCAUCAACAUUAUCAGGAAAAUGCUUGAGAAAAAUCCAAAGCAGUGGCAUGAGAAGUUAUCAGAAACUCUAUAGGCAUAUAGGACUUCAAAAAGAGAGGCAACUGGCAUGACCCCAUAUGCUCUAACUUAUGGUCAUAAUGAAAUUCUGUCUAUGGAGAUAGUAGUCCAAUCUCUCAGAAUUGCCUAUCAACACAGUCUGAUUGGAAAAGACUACUCUUAAGCCAUGCUGCUAGAACUGGAGGGAUUGGAUGCAAGUAGGAUUGAUACCCUCAACAAACUCUUAGCAGGAAAACAAGCUGUAUCAAGGGCCAAAAACAAAAGAGUUAAAAACAAGAGUUUUGAAGAGGUCACCAAAUUGGGGGCAUAUAGACUACAGGAUCGAGAUGGAGAUGUUCAUGCUGCACCAAUCAAUGGCAAGUGGUUAAAGAAAUUCUAUCCAACUAUAUGGGAUUCGCAAGCUGUGGAAACAGAUCUUAGAAUAGAGAGGCAACAAAAUGAAACUGUUGUUUAAAAUUCUGUUCAGAAUUUGUUUUUGAUGUACUUUGUUAAGUACUUUUUAUUUUUUUUGCUUUCUUCUAUUUUGUCAAGAGAAAUCAAAAAAAUUCGACAAAAAUAAAUAACUUUUUAUUUAAAUAUAGUCACUCUAGUGACUAAAUUGUUUAUUACAAGUCUGAAUUUAAAAUUAAAAUCCUAAUUUCUUAAGGGUCUCCUGCAAGCUAGCUUUCUUGAUAGAGAGUUCCUUUUGAAGCAGCACCCCUUGGUGGAUUGAAGUCUCUGCAAUUUCCAAAGCUGGCCUAGAUGCUGAAACCAUGCUCUGCACGAGGAAGGUAGCCUUGGUCUUGGAAUUCAGUCCAGCCCCGAGUCUGCUCUGCACCUUCCUGCAUUCUGCCAAUUUCUUUUGAAGCUUUUCAAUUUGCUUCUCCAGCUUGUUUGCAGUGGCCUUGGCUUCCUUGUAUCCCACAACCAUCUGGUCCAGUUCUCCCUUCUGUUUUGCGUAAUCAGCCAAAUUGGCUUCAUGAGUGGCCUUGCAGAACUCAGAGGUUUUGAAGGUGGGCUUGAGAUCCUCACAGCGGUCGUGAAGGUUGAGCACAUCUUUGGCCAAACUAAGGCUCAUCUCAAGUAUAGGCUUAGGAGCCAUGUUUUGUUUGUACAAUAGGUCCAAUCCUUAAUCAACUGAUCAACAGCUUCCCUAUUCUCAUCCAGUUCCAGUUCAGUGGAUUGCCAGAUCUUCACCCUCUCCAUUGCCUCAUUCAUCGUCUUUGACUUGGCCUUGCCAGGAGUGGAACUGAGUUUCUCCAGCGUGUCCAACUGGGCAUCUAGGUCCAUGGCUUCGAACUCUGCCAAAUAUGGAUCAGCAAAGGAAGCCAUGGUAGAUGAACCUUGGAGGGAGUGGAUAGGCAUCUGCAAAAAGGGAUUGUAAAUUAGCAACAGGCAAAAGCAGGAAAGAAAAAGAGCCAUGAUACAAUAAUACUUACAGUUACGAUAUGAGGCUUCAAAGGACUGGUCAUCACUGCCAAUAUCCCAGCAGUUCUAGGCACUUCUACCUGAAAAAACUGAUAGUCAGAAAAGCAAAGAUAGAACAGAACUGCAGGAAAUAGAUAGAUAGGACCGACACUGCAGGAAAUAGAAUAGAACUGCAAAAAAAAAAUACCACAAGUUUAGGACCGACAGCAGCUACCUCCGCUCCAGAAUCUAGGGCUGCAACAGGAAGUUCUGCCAACUCCUAGCUGGUCAGUUCUGCCCUUGAGGUUUCCUGCUGCUUCUGCGCAAAGACAAUGCUUUCUACUAUUACCUCAGUAGGAAUCUCCUCCUAACAGACGAACAAAAGUCAGAAGUUAGAAGUUUAAAAAAAGGAAAGCAGAUACGAUAUAAUCAUGCAGCCAUAAUGAAGUCUCACCUCUUCUUCAAACUCUUUUCCUUUUUCUUUUGUAGGAACUUCUUUUUCUUUUUCUUCUUCUUGCUCCUUCUCCUGCUCAACCCUCUCACAGCUCAUCAUUAGUUCUAGAAGUCUCAGUUGGAGCAAUUGUAGAUUCUUCUAUCUCAUCAGAUUCAACUCCAGUCCUCUUUCUAAGUCUUUUUGACCUAGUAGGAGGGGAAUGAGGACUUUCAGCUGCACAGAACAAAAUGGAGGUUAGAAGAAUGGGCAUAGCAGAACAUAUUCAAUAAAAUAGUUCGAAAUGUCAUAAUCGUACCAAAAACUUUAGGCUAGGCAGCACUGUCCUGAGCAGAAGCAGUUUCUUUUCUUUUUCUUCUAGCACAAGGAGUGGCAUCGACAAGUGGUUGCUUUGCUAGAUUUUCAUCAUUUUCAUCUCUAGAGGGAAGCUCCAAGUCUCUAGCAGCAAUGACAGAGGUGACUGCACAGGAAAUAAACAAAGUCAGAAAUCAAUCCAACAGAAGAAUAAUGAAAGGAACAGAAUGAUGGAAAGCUUACCUAUCACUUCUCCAGCCUGGACAGAUUGUCCACCUAUGUUCCUUGUCAGAGAGGGGUCUGAUACAGACACAACAAAUUAUUAGGCAUCAUCACAAGGGCAGAAUGAGUAAAAUAUAAACAUAAUCAAGAAUCUACCUUCUAUGACUUGAGCAUUGAUGUCUUUGAUGGUCUGCACCAUAAAGUUCUUGGCCUCUGCCUAUGCAUAGAUGGUCCAAGAAUCCCAGCCAUCAAAAAGUACCUUGAGUGCAGUGAUCGAGGCAGGUAGUCCAUGAAAUCUGGCUUUCCACCAAGCGUCAAACUCGGCAGAACUGCAGGAAUUCGGCUCCCAGGAUGGAUAAAGGGCGUCUGCACUAUUAUUGAUCUUGUUUACUGCAUACCUAGCAUCCCUGUGCACUUCCAGAUCAUCUGAAUCCCUUCAGGAAGUGGCCCGAUUACAGCUUCUAUAUGAUUUGAGCGGAAUGAGUUGAGGGUAGCCAAGCUGUCUGGCAUAGAAGUUGGGGUGAUAAACUUUUGCCCCCAAAUGAUAAUUCGGAGGCUUUCCACUGCCAUGGGACAGGUCUCUUGGCAGGGUUACACUCAGGAAUUUUUUUCCUAAAAUCGAUUCUGGCAGCUUCUUCCUCUGGUUUCUUCUCAAACAGCUGGUAUCUUAGUGCAGUGCCUGAAGAACAUCAGGUACUCUUCAAUGGAUCACUUGGGCACUUCUGUUGACAUUAGGGGAAAAGCCAGAACUUGAUCUUCAGGCAGAACUAUGUCUGGAAACUGCAACUCAGGGAGGUACACCUCCAGCCAGAUAUGGAUCAUCCAAAAUGCACCAGGAGUAGAUAGGUUCAAGUGAUUCUCCAGGGUGGUAGUAUGCAGAUUCUUAAACAGGUGGGCCAGAACUAUAGGCCCAAGCUCGACGUCAGUAUGGUUGUGCAGUGCUUCUACCAGGUGCCUGUAUUCUAGCAGAACUGCGAAAGAAUGAUUCGGAAACACAAAUCUGUUCAGCCAGUACAGGAGGAAUAACAUGUGAUGCUGAUCCUUGUCCUUUUUCGCAUUGAACUUUCUCAAGUAAUUGGAGAACGAGCAGUUCUGGUUGAUGGUGGCAGGAGAGAUAGUGAAAGGCUUGGCCAAUCUCUCCUGAUUCUUCCUUCGAUGAUAGUCACCAACGGCAUCAACAGGCCUUCCAUGGGGCCUGAACCCAAAGAUCUGAGCCAUAUCCAGCAGGGUUGGUGUCACUAGGCCCACAUGAAAAUCAAAGGUGUUACUGGUAGAAUUCUAGAAACACAGAGCGGCAGCAAGCAGAUUCUCAUCUUUAUUGAUGGACUGCUUUGAUAAGAAAAUUGCAUCAUAAAUCCCCGCCCUCCUCCAGUGAGCUCUAUAUCUUGGAAGAAGUCUGUCAAUCCAGCCUGCCCAUUUUACAGAACUGUUCCUCACCUCACUGGAUGGGAACGAACGACUCAAAUUCUUGCUAACCCAAGAAUGAGAAGCCAGGGCAAAGGUGAUCUGGAAACAUAGAGGAGCUUUAGCAUCUUUUUUAAUCAGCUCUGCCAUCUCAGUCGGGACAAAACCAAACCAGUGAGGUCCCAGGACUAGAGUAUUCUCAAACAGAUGAAGGACAUUCUCAUCCAGGUUUUUCAUGGUAAAAGGGUGGAGCUUGCUUCUGACCUCUAUCGCAUGGUUGUCAACUCCAGUCCCAGUGAUGUAUUCAGGAGGAACUAAAGAAGAGGAAACUUGGGCACGAGUUUUUGGAGAAGACAUUUUUCAGGGGUUUCGAGCUGGAACAAAGGAAGGACUAAGGACUAAUCAAAGAAAAAAGGGGGAAGGGUUCUGAGAAAUCUGAAGAGAAUCAAGGUCUGAGAAAGCUAGGUUUUUAAGUGACCAUGAGCUGGAGUUUCGAAUUUCUUAAAAAGGCUCGAAAUCGUGGGAAGAAGAAGACAAGGCGCCACCUGAUAAUGACUAGCUAGUAACUGACCAUUUUCCCACGAAGUCUAGUUCAUGGUAGGCAGACGUGGGCUAACGGAAAAAACUGGCACGCACAAAUUAAUGGCCAAAUCAUUAAGUCUGGAACCGUUCCAAAAACGAUUCAGACUUAGGAGUCAUUGUUUGGGCCUAAUUUGACACACCCAGUCCAAAAGAACAAAAGACCCUAUCAAUUUUGGGCAGCCACCAACGUUCCCUUAUAGUUGGGCAAAAUUUCACACUCAGCUCAACACUGGAGGCCCAGAAGGACGAGGCGAAAUCAGACCCAGGCAGUAUGGACAAAAAUUGGAAUCGAGGGCCCAAAUCCAAGAAAGCCCAGCCUAGGACCUACCAAACUACGAGGAUGACUUGGGCUUCGAAAAAACACCCAAAUUGGGCUUGACAUGAUUAAAAGAAAAGAGAAGCCCAAUAAUUAGAGGCAGACCCACAUGACUGCCUGAAGAAAACUUUGAAAAAGUCAACAUUUAAAACUAAGUUGAUAAAAGAAUUAAAGAAGGCAGGUAUGAAAAAGACAUCUCUGAAAACUCUGCCACCAGAAGAUCAAAAUCCCUUAUAAAUAUAUUCAGAGAUAUUUUUUGCUCCAAAGAAAGGCACUAAUUUCAAGAGAUAAGCAUACUACGUUUUGGAGAUAAGUAGGAAGCAGGGAGUUGUUCAACUGGAAAAUCAAACUUACAAAAGCAGUUGGAAUUAAAAAAGGGUCAGGUUUUCUUUCAAGAAAAACAGGAAAGUGAUUGCCUUAGGAACUGAGUAUUGAGAGCUUAUCUGCCAGAAUUGAUAAAACCCUAUUUUCCUUUGCAUUUAAAAACGAAAGAUCUUUUGAGAAUUUUUGCUGCCCAUUAUUAAAAGAAUUAGAAACCCCACUCCAAAACAUUUCUUAUAAAUAUAGGAGAGGGUGAACAGAGCAAAUGACAGUCAAUCAAAAACAACCAAAAAAUCAGUCAAAGACAAAAAUUCAAAAUGAUCACUUGAUCCCAAAGAACCUUCAAACAAAUUGAAGCAACCAAAAGCUCAUUAAGCCACAAGAAAGAAGCCAGCUACAAAUCGAAACUUCAAGUUUCAAACUUAGAAAAAGUCAUUCAAAACGAGAUUUCUCUCGUUAAAAAUUUGGUUCAACAAAAGCCAAAACAAGCAGAGUCUGGGUUUUUACAAAUAUGAAAACCUCAACAAAUUUAUGGAGAGCCCUGACCAAGCAGAACAGGUACCACAGUGCAUUUCCAGCUCAGUAAUCCUCAAGUCCAGCCACUUCUGUCCCUUUCAGACUCAAGAGGCCGCAAUUCUAACCGUUCAAAAAGCCUUCCAGGGCUUGAAAUAAAUUAAAGCUCUGCUAAACUUGAACUUUGGUAUCGAUUUACAGCUAAAGCUUAGCAGCUGAAGUUGUUGACAGUCCAGUCCAGCCUGGAUCAGAAGCUUCUAUCCAGGCAAAAAUGGAAGUCCAACCUUCUUUUUGUCUUUCUGGAGUUGAUUUUUUCCAUUUGAGUUUUGUAAAAGGCAGUUCCGCCAAAAAACAGUUCAUUUUCUUAUUAUUUAUUCUGGUCAGAACUAUCAACCGUGUACUGUGAAAAAUUAUGAAUUCCUCACCAGUCUGAGGCAUGAAAUGAACUUACUUGGGAGAUAUUCUUUCACCCAAAUUCACAUUCGCUUGUUUAGAAAUCAAUAACUUGGGGGCGCAAGUUAUCUAUUUCAAAGUCUGCUAGGAUUUUUUCAUUGCUAGCAGUGGCACGCUCGCACACUAAAGAAAGUUGACUUGUUGACCAGUCAAUGAUUUUUAAGGCAAUGAAAAUCUUUACCCUACUAUCACAGGAACAAAUAUCAAACGAGUGAACAACAAUAUAACCAGAUACACUGCCACUUUAGCAUCAAUGAUGACCGUUAAACAGAUACAAUAUAACCCAUAAGCAAAUUACAUAGGUUUCCAUGGUGUAUUGGCCCCAGGAAAUUUAGAGAACUAUGUGAAAUCCGAAGGUCGUAGAACGUACAAUUCGGUUGAAGAAUUUCACGAUGAUUAAACCCAAGCCUAUUACCAAUGGUUUUGGCUUUGUGAAUAACCUUUUUAAACGUUGCAUAUGCAUUCAAAUAUAAAUAAGUAAAUAGAUAUACAUAUGCGACAAAUUACACAAUAGCGAUUUAAAACAUUGUAUAACAUUGUAUAUAAUUCUUGGGUAAUUUACAUUCUGAGUCACAUAUGCAAGCGGUUGAUUAAAUUAAUCAAAUAAGCCUUCAUAACUGAUUCAUGUUUUGUUUUCAGGUUUUCCCCAGAGGCUCGGAAUUGGCUCAAGACAUGUCAACACGAAUUGAACAGCUGAGAGAAGGAAGAAUGCUUUUAGCGAUGGAAAGGGACUGGUUUCAUGAAGAUACAAGUGAUCCUCAUACCAGUACUCUUAACAUUGACAACUUUAGUGGUUUAUUCCUUGUUAGUGGGGUUCCUUCUGCUCUUGCUCUUUUUUUAUUCUCUUUGUUCUCCCUUAAAGAUAACUGGAAUGGGGUAAAGAAAUGCAUUUUUCGAAUGUAUCAAAUGGAAAUGAACAAAUCAAAUAUACUACACAAAUGGUGGUUUUGUAAUGCUAACUAAGGUUGUUUCAUGGCUAGAAACAGACUAAUCUCUAAGUGAGGUGCAAUUUGCUCAAUGUAUUUACGAAUGCUAAAUUUGAUUUAUACAAAACAAGGGCCAAUUCUUCUACUUCAGAAAUUUAUCAAUCUUGGAGCUUAUUGGUUCGGUCAAAGCCCCUUAGCUUACAUGCUCUCUCUUUUUCAGGCAAUCUAAUAAUAGAUUACGUUUAUGAGACGCGUGGCAUUGUAAAUCAACUCGGCGAGAAUCAACCUUCACCUUGUUAGUGUCUCUUAGCUUGUGUGUGAAAGCAAUAAAUGUUGGAAGUGUGAAAGCAGGAAAUAUUAGCUUGACUUGUAGUUAUUAACAUUAAUAAGGUUGGCUGCUCUAGGGUGGCUGUAGGGUCUGUAGGUUUGCUGUGGGGUUGCUAUAGGUUGGCUGUAAUUAAUAGGUUGGCUGAUGUAUAAAUUCUUGUAAUUAAUGUAAAGCUUGAAUAGCAAGCCUUCUCCUUAUAUAUAUAUCUGCUGCAUGUAUUACAAAACAAUCAAUGAAAACUAAAUACAAGUUGAAAACCACAAAAUUAUCUUCUCUCAUUCUCAUCUUCUCAUAUUCUAGCUUCUCAUGUUUUGGCACGGUAUCAGAGCCUAAUGGCUAAUCCUUAAGAUUCUCUACCAAAUUGAGAGUUGUUGGCAUUUUUUCAUGUUGCUGUAAAUUCUCUUGUUUCUCUUCUUCUUUAAUCAACAUUUUUUUUCAUUCCACCUUAGCCGUUUAGGCAGAUUCUUUUUUUAGUAAAUUGAGCUUAGACCCAUAAAAUUCAUUUUAAAUCACCUACAACCCUUUCCUUUAGUUUUCUAUGUAAAAUACCCAAUUUUUUUAAAUAAUACCCGAUGACUAGGAUCUAACUAAGCAAGUUACCUAAUAUAACUUAAAAUCUGAUUUAUUGUAUUUUUCGGAUUCCAAAACUACCCCUAUUUAUAAGUUAAUGUGUUAUUGAGGGUGUAACUAAUGACACCCUUUGAAUUUUGAAAUAUCUCCAAAUAGUUGUAAUGGAUGUAGGAACUAAUUUAGAAACUUAUUUGAAAUUAAAUAUUAAAUUCCACAUUAAAGUGUUAGUAAUCUAUUUUACGACUAGUAAUCUAUUUUUGAAUUAAUGGUGUUUUCCUUCUAUGAAUUAUGACUAGUAAUCUAUUUAAAGUAUUAAUAAUUUAAAUUUAAUAUUUAUUUUAGGAAUUAAUGUUGUUUUCUUUUUAUGAAUUAUACGACCAGUAUUCUUUUUUAUUAUAGUUUUAUGAAUAAUAGUGUACAUUCUAAUUAUGUUGAAAAAUAAUUUGAUAAUCUAUUUAUUGUUUUGUUUUUAAAAGAUUUUUUUUAAUGAACCUAUAUUUUUCUCCAAAUAUUGUACCUAUUUUUUUUCUUUAUUUCUUGUUUUAUGAAAAAUAAUUUGAUCAUCUUUUUAUUGUUUGUUUUAUGAAAACAAAUUUUUUAUUAUUAAAUGAGCCUAUUUUCUCUCUCAAAAUAAUGUACCUAUUUUUUCUCUAAUAAUGUACCUAGUAAAACAAUUUACCUAGUAUAAUGAACCUAUUUUUUUUUUCUCUAAUAAUAUACCUAUUUGUUUCUCUCAAAAUAAUAUACCUAUUUUUCUCUCAAAAUAAUGUACCUAUUUUUUUCGUCUAAUAAUGUACCUAGUAAAACAAUUUACCUAGUAUAAUGAACCUAUUUUUUUCUCUAAAUAAUGUACCUUUUUUUCUCUAAUAACGUAUACCUAGUAAAACAAUUUACCUAGUAUAAUGAACUUAUUUUUUUUCUUCUAAAUAAUGUACCUAUUUUUAAUUAAUAAAAAAUGUGCAUAAAUUUCUAUUAUACAACGUACCUAUUUUCUACAAAUUAUUAAGUACCUAUUUUUAAUUUAUGAAAAAUGUACAAAAAUUUCAAUUACAAAGUAAUUGACCUAUUUUUGUUAAUUUUUAUUGGUAAAUAAUAUACCUAUAUUUUUAUACGUAUAUAUUUAUAUUUAUAUUUAUAUUUUUCAUAUGUACAUCAUUGGAUAUGUAAUUUACAUAUUUUUUUUAUUGGCAAUUUUAAGGGGCCAUAUGUUUGAGGGAAUGGCAACCAAACGAAAUGGGGUGAUUGAUAUGCUAUUAAUAGGGAGUUUUAAUUACAAUUAUGGCAGUUAAUGAAAUGCUUUGAAUAAAUUAUAAAUAAAAUAUGAAGUCUAAUGGCAAGGAUGUAAAAACAUAGGAAUACUACGGCCUCUUAUAUCCUACUAGUCAUUUAAGUUUGAAAUAGGGUUUUACACAGAUUUAUAGAAUGAUGGGUAUAUAUCUAGGAAAUAGAAAUGGUAGGACCUAUAUUGAACAAGCCUUAAAAUUUAAUGUUUGAUAUUGGAUGUCUCUCUUGGAGAUGCUCUUAGAUGACAAAAGGUAAGGUUGAGGUUUUGCUUUAGCCAACAAAAAAUAUUGCUUGUAUAACAAUUGACUUAAAUUUUAGGAAGAUUUCUUAUUGGAUGAAACCGGUCUAUUUUUCGUUUGAAAUAUAUAAUGGGUUAAGACUGUUUGAGCCUUAUCGGGAAGGCUAAGGCCAUCAGGGUAGCUCUGCAGUUUGCAUGCAUAAGAGGGUCAGAGAAUUGAUUUGGAAACUGACUCACAGGUCUUGGUACACAUAUUUCUGGAGUUUGGAUAGACAGCUGGCAAAAGGAGAAAUUUUACUAGGAUAUGGUCUCCUUGUUGGCCUUUCAAUAUUCUUGCUGCAGAUGUUAAUGUUUUGGUUCGUAUUUGAAUUGGUCGGUCUCUUAUAGACUGUUUAAGGAUUCAUUCCCCUAAACUUUGUAUAUAGUAUAUUGGAUACUGUUUGCCUCUUUCACUAUAAGGAGAUACUUUUUCUUUUUGCGAAUUAUAGUUUGACAUAUAUUUAAAAAUAAUUAAUCAAAAUUAUACAAAAAGAUAAAUUUAUACACGCAUAUCACACUGCUAUUAACAAGAAUAUAAGAGUUUCUACUUACAUGAUAAGGAGGGAAGUAAUUUCUUUGUAUACUACAAUGUAAUUUGACAGCUUUGAAUUGGUCCAAUUCUACUGGCCCCACUAGUGCUGGAAAAUUUGUGCAAAAGAUGUUAUUCAAGUGUUAAGGAAUGGCUUGACUCAAAAAACAACAAAAAAAAGUAUAUGUCAUUGACUGGGAAUGGGUCAACUAUAUUUGUCCCCUGUUGGAGAAUACCACACAUAUAUGGAUAGAAAGAUAGCUCUGAAAUGGUCAACAGUACUGUAUGAGUUCCAACUUACAAGUCAACUUGGAAAAAGUACAAACUGCAAGACUUUGCCUUAGUAACUUGGAUUUCCAAUAUCUGUUACAUUGAUUUCAAUAUAGAUUCCUAGUUCUCACAAUCUGAACCACAAAAUUUUCAGAUUUUUUUUCCUGUCUCAUUCAAAACAAAAAAAUAUCACCACUUCAAACAAAGGAAGCAAUACUGUCAGCAACCAGUCUCUCAUCAUUUAUGCUUUGACCCAGUGUGAAUUUAAACUUAAACAAUAUCUCAUACAUCUGCUUGGUGAUCUCAGUGUUGAGAAUUGUUUGACACAGGCCUUACAUGAUAGUGUUCAUUUCAAAUUUACGCACAAUUAUAAAUUGAUUCUCUCUGUACGUAUCAAAUAUUUCUUUGAAGAAAAAUAGUAUGCUAGAUACUAAUUGAUUAUAGGACCAUGUAUUUCUGAACUCUUUAGGUCAGCAGCAGCAUAUGCCAUCCAAUUCCAACUUAUGAAAAGUCGGAAAACUAUUGCUUGACCAAUGAAAACUCUACUCGGUUGUAUAUACUUUUCCAACCUUGUGAGUUGAAAUUUUGAUACGAAACUAGUAUUUUCCAAGACUAGCUGGCCACGACUAGUAUCAAAAGCUAUCAGCGUGUGUUAAGCAUUUGCCGACACCAAAGAAAAGUUCUCUCCCAUAGAGAUGGUACAGUUAUUUUCAACACCAAGGACUUUUGUGACAUUUUCAAUGAUGAAAAUUUCAUAAUUGAAAAUAGGAUUCUUUUCUUUUUGGUCCAUAUAGUUGAGAUGUAGUUACCUCCACUAAAUGUAAUAACAUUUAGUUGUGAAUUAUUUGUUGCUACUCUUCAGGUUGUACCUGUCACAUGGUUUAGUAAGUCAAGGCCGAGGCUUAUAAAAACUUGUAACAAGUCCUGAUGAGUACUCUAGAAAUGGCUCGUGCCGUACAUAUCAAAGGUUUUCUAUUUUGAGAGAAAAAAUAGAAAAAGAAUGUACCUAAUAUAAUAGAGAAAAAAUAGGUAUCAUGAUAGUGAUAGUUUUCCUCCUUAGACAGCAUGUUAUUUAACUAAUAUAAAUUAAUAUUCUCGGGCGAGCUAGCGCUAGACGAUACUGAUCAGGUGUUAAACCAAACAAUAGAGAAGCAGAAAUUAAGUUGGCCUCUUGUGUAUAUGGAGUUUCAAGGGAAGAAGCAAACCAUCCUCUGCCUGUCCUUUGUGACCUUGUUUGGCCUCCUAGGUCUCUUGUGUGCUGAAAUUGAUGGCAGUCCCAAUAUUGUUGUGGAAGAGGUUCAUGUUGGUGUGAUUCUUGAUAUGGGGUCAAGGGAAGGAAAGAUUAUUCUCAGCUGCAUUUCAACAGCCCUGUCU
rnacentral:lncRNA from 1 species